rnacentral:lncRNA from 1 species
CCUAGAUUCUAUUUCAUCUCCUCCUCCCCUACUAAGGACACUCAGGUUGAAUGGAAGUCUUGAAGAGAUGCCUAACUGGAUUGAGCAGCUCACUCACCUGAAGAAGUUCGACUUACGGAGGAGUAAACUAAAGGAAGGUAAAACCAUGCUGAUACUUGGGGCAUUGCCCAACCUCAUGGUCCUUUAUCUUUAUCGGAAUGCUUACCUUGGGGAGAAGCUAGUAUUCAAAACGGGAGCAUUCCCAAAUCUUAGAACACUUUGUAUUUACGAAUUGGAUCAGCUAAGAGAGAUCAGAUUUGAGGACGGCAGCUCACCCCUGUUGGAAAAGAUAGAAAUAGGCAAGUGCAGGUUGGAAUCUGGGAUUAUUGGUAUCAUUCACCUUCCAAAGCUCAAGGAGAUUCCAAUUACAUACGGAAGUAAAGUGGCUGGGCUUGGUCAGCUGGAGGGAGAAGUGAACACACACCCAAAUCGCCCCGUGCUGCUAAUGUACAGUGACCGAAGGUAUCACGACCUGGGGGCUGAAGCCGAAGGAUCUUCUAUAGAAGUGCAAACAGCAGAUCCUGUUCCUGAUGCCGAAGGAUCAGUCACUGUAGCAGUGGAAGCAACGGAUCCCCUUCCCGAGCAGGAGGGAGAGAGCUCGCAGUCGCAGGUGAUCACGUUGACGACGAAUGAUAGGUCAGUCACUCCCUACAUGGCAGCUUAAUUAACUUGUUUCUAAUUCUCUUCUUGUUCAGUAUUAGCCAUCAGGUGAGGGCGAUGAUUUCAACUCACUUUUCAUCUCUCUCGUUUUCUUAACCUGACAGCGAAGAGAUAGGCACAGCUCAAGCUGGCUGACGAUCUCCUCCCCCAUCAGCGUCGUCAUCAGCGAACAGAUAGGGCAGGGCUUCCCUGCUUCUGCGUGCACCUCACUGCUCUGACUCGGAGGGACAUGAUGAUCAAUGAGGCUUCCAGUUCCCAAAUGUGCGCCUAACACACUCAGUCAUUCCCAUCCCAGGUAUGAAUUGAUCGAUCUGAUUUAUUCCUUGCCGUGAGGUGCAAAUGUUUGAUGCUUACUUUGAUCAGGGUAUUCUGUUUCGGGCUGUGAUAUGCACAAUUACUCUCAAUUCGUGUUUUGAUGCUGAGUUUUUAUUUCUCUUCUUACCCGUGCACUCUUCAUUUCCAUUUCAUUCAUAACAGAAAACAAUUUGAUUGCAUUGUGGAAGGGAAUAUAAGAUCAGAAAUCAGAUGGUUAGUUGUGGUUUUCUUAUUUCGUUUGCUAUGAGCACCAAUCGUUUUGCUAGAAUGUCUUUUUUUUGAACGACUCGCACGAGACGGUGCGAUGUUCUAUUGAUAGAGCAGGAAAAGAAUUACAAGACUACAACCCUGGAGGGUCAUAACCAGGAAAAAGAAAAAAUAUACCACCACCCACACACCGGCAGCGCCAACACACACGACAGGAGAAGGUUAGCACCGGACCGGCCGCCGCUAGACCAACAAAGGAGCACAGACGAGAUUGCACGAAUCCACGGCUGACGCACCGAUGCUCCACCACCACUCAAACUCUGCCGACAUGUGGGGCCCCUGCACCGACGCCCCCCGCCGGCCAGCCUUUGCGCGCCGAAGACCGCGCCACACCCACCGGUAGCUCCACCACGCACCGAGGUCACCUCUUCCACCGCCGGCCGCGCCUCUCGCGCCAAGCCGGCCUCCUCCACCGGACGCGCCUCUCGCGCCAAUCCGGCCUCCCUCCAUCGGCUGCGCCUCUCGCGCCAAGCCGGCCUCCAUCUCUGCCGCCGGCGCCUCUCGCGCCGAGCCGGCCUCCGCUGCCAUCGGCUGCGCACUCUGCGACAAGCCGUUCUCUGACCCCUCCUCCAAACGAUGCUGCGCCGGUCCGAUGUAGCCGUCUGCCACGCCCUCGGCAAGCCGUCCGAGGCCGCCAUGCCUCCUCCCACCACCGUCACGGUCACCAUCACCUCACCGUCGCCGCCGUCACCUCACAACCGACUCCUUCCCCGCCUCCACUGCCGAUGUCGCCGCCGCCUCCUCAGUCACGGCCGUCGCAAGCCGGCCGUCGUCGCCGCUGCCACUGUCACCAACCACCGACGCCAGCAGCCGCCAUCGCAAAACCGCCGCCACCUCCAACGCAGCCGCCCCGAUGUCGUCGCCAUGCGGGGGGGGGGGGGGGGGCAAAUAGGCCUUCAGCACGCUAGAUCCGCCCCACGGGGGGCCAAAAUGGCCUGCAGCGCCUGAUCCGGCCGCCGUCGCCAGCCUCGCCGCCAGAGCCACCCGCCGUCGUCAGCCUCGCCGCCACCUCCAUCCCCGCCGCCAUCUCCAUCCCCGCCGCCGGCGCCCCCUCACCAUCCCCGACGCCGUCGUCGCCUUCCCCGCCGCCAGCCGCCACCAACUACCGCCGCCACCUCGCCAUCUUCAAUCCCCGCCGCCACCACCACCAACUGCCGCCACCACCUUAGGCCGACCCUCCGCCGGCGGCCUCCCCACCAGAUCCGGCCGCGGCGGCCCGGAUCUGGGUGGCCUUCGCUGUCUCGCGCAGCCCCCCACCGCCGACGGGAGAGGCAGACGAAGGCGACGAAGCCCCGCCGCCGCCGUCCUUGCGGCCGCUCGGGCGGCGGCGAGGCGGCAGAGGGAGGAAGGGGGGAGCGGCAACGCCGGCUGUUUUCGCCUCCCGUGUCGCCCGUGAGGGAGGGCGACGCGGGGGCCUCGAUGAGUUUUUUUGCUAGAAUGUCUGAAAGAUCUUGUGUACAUAUGGUGGACUGAACAAUUGAACAUUACUAGUUAUCAUAUUUUAUAUUGUUGCUAACCGAUCACAUAGUCCAGUACUCCAGUAGUAAGAUUUUUGUUAAGUUUAUUGUUACUGAAUAUAUUGUUUGGCCUGCAGUUGUUAUUUCUCUCAAAAAAAAAAUAAUUUGUUAGUCUCAAAUACAAAAAGAAUGACAGAUCAAACAAGUUGUUUCACUCUACUAGUUUCAAAUUGAUCAUCUCUGUUUGUUCUUCAUUCAUUUUCUCUCUGUAAGAGAGUUUGAUAGGGUGGAGAUGCGGUCAUGUGGAUGAUCAAAUGGACUACAUCAGACGCAUCACACUGCUGCCCAACCUUUACGCACUGUUGACAAAUGGAGUGCAGGUCCUAAACCAGGCCAGAAGUUUGUUCAGUGUUCUUGUUCCAAAAUAAACAUUCUGGAUGGCAGGUUAAUUUAUUAUAACAUUCACUCUUAUAGCUUUCUUAGUCAAAACUACAAAUAAGGUCUCCUAAAAAAUGCAUCGACGUUGAUAUCUGUGUUUUCUGCCAUGCAGAAUGACUUGCUCUCAAUGGUUGAAGCUGCAACCUUCCAGGCUCAUUUCUGGCUGAAUCCAAAUUGGUCGCUUGGAGGCUGGAGCUGCAUGACAUCAGAGAUCACAAUGCCACUUUUUGUUGCCAUGGGUGAGCGUACAUGGAUCAUGCCGCUAAGCCUUUACUCCGAGCUAGCAGAAAACUGGCUGGCUGUAGAUCGAGUUCGCCAUCGCCCUCAACUUUGUCGAUGUGAUGGUGAUCAUGGAUAGAUGUAUGUCACAGCGCAAAGCGGAGACUCCAAUGUUAGCAACCGUACUGUAAAUGUGGAGGGGAAAAUUUCUCAAGGGGACAACCAUGGAACAGAGGAGAUGGAGCAAAGUAGUUGCUCUUGCUAUCAUUUCAGAUCUCAGGCUGAUCUCUAGCUCUGAUAGGAGUACUAAUUAGUAUGUGUGUGUAUUUAAUCAUUGAUGGUACGUUUUAAGAGUUGAACCAGAUAUUGCUUGAUCAUUACAUGACGAUAUGUAAAAAAUGGUAUUGACAAGGAGACGCAGGAACAGGGUGGUUCAUUGCUCUGUUUAAUCUUAAUCUUGGAGAGCUAGGAUGGAAAACUGAGUUGGUGGUUUUAUCUCUACUACUUUUGAUGUUGUCCAAAACAAAUUUGUUUCUACUCAUGUACGUAUGUAAAAACACAAAUUUUAGUGAUUACAGAACUUAUUUUUCUCUUUAAUCAGAUUAUUUAUCAGUGGGAUUUUUCUUUCUCUAGUAGUACUGUAUAAAAAUACUUUUUUAUCGUCAAUCCUCCUAAAAUUCCUAUUUAUAAACUCAUUUUUCUUCAGUUUUUUUUCUGUAUUUUGAUUCUCUUUCCUCUACGUGACUACACAUUUUGAAUUGAACAUGCUCUGUAUCUGCUCGGAAUACUUAUUAUUCAGCCAACUUAAAUGCAUGAGAUUUGCUCCGGUCCACCAAAAAUUACCUCGAGGUACUAGUACCUCAUGGUACCAAAUCGUUUCCGAUCGUGAAACGAUUUGGUACCGUCAGUUACCGUACCUAGAGAUCUAAAUGCAUAGGGGCAUUUGGAAUGUGCACUUAACAGUUGUUUGAACACUUCCAAGGAAUUUCUCCUCAGUUGUCGGACGACUCAUUCAUUUUCAUCGCUUCCAACAAUUAUCAACUGUGUCUCUUCCUCUCCCCCUAGAUCCGGCCCUACCACCGCCAAAGCUGACCGGCGUCUGCGCGGCGGCUAGGACAUCGGCGACGGGGAGGUGGGAGGCGGAGGCACGGCGAUGGUGGCCAGAGGCAGCCGGGCUCGUGCGCUGACCGUCUGGGUUGGUGACGGCUAGAGGUGGUCGGGAGGACGGCGGGUAGCGGCUAUGCGUCGGCGACGGAGGACCUUCGAACGGCGGUGGGGGCAGUAGCGGAGGACGGCGUCGGCCCAGGACGACAACGGCUCCCAUCGGUGCCGGUGGCCCUAGGGGCUGCGGCGGAGGACGACGGUUGUUCACGUCGGCGGCCGUGGCCCUAAGGGCAUUGGCGGCUUCCGUCGGCCGGCGGCCCAGGAUGGCAGCGGUUCUCAUUGGUGCCGGUGGCCCUAGGGGCUGCGGCGGAGGACAACGGCAGCUCCCGUCGGCACCGGUGGCCCUAGGGGUAGCAGCGGAGGACGGUGGCGGUUCCCGUCGGUGUUGGCGGCCUGGGAUGGCGGCAGUCUGAGUACUAUGGAUAAUGGAGGCCUAGAAAUCUGGCAAAGUGGAAGCUAACCCCAUCGGUUCGUAUCUGGUUGGCUAGUUCUAACUAAACGAUGAACAACGACGGUUGAAAGUGUGCUAAAUGGCAGCACGUAGAGUCAACUCACCUGAAACGGAUAAAGAUGGCACCAACGGAGGUUUGCAUCGACGGCGCACUAGGGGCAAUGACGAAUAGACAACUUCCACUCGUCAAACCUGGUUGUUUCAUAAGAAUAUGGUGGGAAGCAGAGAAGCUGGGAUGUGUCGAGGUCGUUUGGUUUUCUUUUCUUUUUUGAUUGUGUGUUCUCCUCGUUGUUGAGGUGUGAGUAUAAGUGCUCUUGUAUCCUUUUGGCUGUGUAUAUCCUUCAUAAUAUAGAGGCCAGAUUAAUGAAAAUCCAUUAUCUAAAAAAAAAAUUGUCAGACGGCUAAUUAAACCUAAGAAUUCCAUGUGCAAGGACUUGUACUAGUGUUCCCAAAUCUUAGAACACUUUGGCUUUACAAAUUGGAUCAACUAAGAGAAAUCAGAUUUGAGGACGGCAGCUCACCCCAGUUGGAAAAGAUAGAAAUCUCUUGGUGCAGGUUAGAAUUAGGGAUUAUUGGUAUCAUUCACCUUCCAAGGCUCAAGGAAAUUUCACUUGAAUACAGAAGUAAAGUGGCUAGGUUUGCUCAGCUUGAGGGAGAAGUGUGCGCACAUCCAAAGCAUCCAGUGCUGCAAAUGAUGGAGGAUCGAAGCUAUCGCGACCUAGGAGGUGAUGCCGAAGUAUCUGCUGUACAAGUGCAAGCAGGAUCCCCUCCCUGAGCAAGAGGGAGAGAGCACGCAGGUGAUCACGUUGACGACAAACUACAGGUCAGUCACUCCCUACAUGGCAGCUUAAUUAGCUAGUUUUCUCUUCUUAUUCAGUAUUAGCCGUCAGGUGAUAUCGAUGAUUUCAACUCACCCUUUCACCUCUCUUGUUUUCUUAACCUAACAGUGAACAGAUAGGCACAGCUCAAGCUGGUUUGAUCAAGUCAUCAUCUCCUCCUCCAUUGGCAUCUCGGGUCGUCCCUGGCUCCCUGCUUCUGUGGCUCCGAGCAGGGGUGCUGAUCUAAGGAGGCAUCCACUUUUUUCAAUUGCGUCUCAGGUAUGAAUUGUUCGAUCUGAUCUUUUCUCGUGAUAUGUUACUGUUCCAGCAUGAGUAUUUCAACCAGCGGCUUAGAAUUUUUCGUUUGAUCAGGUUUUUUCCCUUUCUUACCUGGGCACUAUACUUUUGGUUUUCUUAUUUCAUUUUUGCUGUGCACACCAGUUGUUUGCUAGAAUGUCUGAAAGAGCUUGUGUUCAUGGUUAGCUCAACAUUAUGUGUUAGUCAUAUUUUAUAUCGUUGCUGACCUAUCACAUAGCGCAGGAGUUUUUUUGCUAUGUUUAUUGUUGCUUGCUGUUGAUUUUCCUUUUUGUAAAGAAUAUUAGCUUUUUAGAUAACGAAAAGAAUACUACGUAUCCUGCAAAAAGGAUUGAUUUGGUCGUCACUGGCUAGUAGGGGUGAAAACGGUACGGAAACUUUCCGGAUUCCGGACCUAUUUUGGAAACGGAAUCUGUCGGUCAGAAUUUUUUUGGAAUUUUUCGGAAACGGAAACGAAUUCGGAAAUAUUUUCUCGGAAACGGAAUCGGAAAUGAUAAGGGCAGUUUCCAUCGGAACUCGGAAUCGGUCGGAAACUUUCUGGAAAUUUUCUCGGAAUUUCCGGAAAUUUUGUGACUGAAAUAGUGAAUACCAUGGUAUUUGGCUGUUAUUUUUUUUAAAGUAUUUGUUAUGCAAAUCUGAAGUUACAUAAGAAUAUUUUUUUCCUGCAUUAGGAUUUAUCAACAUCAGUAAUCUCUUAAACAUAGAUAAUUUAUUUCAUAGAUUGUGUUCUGUGAUUGAGACUUAAAAAAUAGACUUAUAUGAUUGUGUUUUAUGAUGAAUUGUUGACCGUUGAGACUUGAGAAUUGGAUUUAUCAGUUUGAGAGGUUUUUUAUUCCGAUAAAUUUUGUUACCAUAUUCGUGCCGAUUCGUUUUCGCUCCGUUUUCGGUUUCGAUAAUAUUUGAUUCCGUUUUCGUAUCCGGAGUUUCCGAUUCCGAUUGCGAAAAAAAUAUGAAAACGAAAACGAUAACGGUGGUUUUUGUCCGUUUCCAUACCGCCGUUUUCACCCUUACUGGCUAGUACAAAACAAUUUGGAUUGUCGGAGUUGCUGGUCUUGGGAAACUACUCUUCAAAGGUGGUUUACAAAACUCUGAUGUUAGUACCAAGUCCUUGCAGGGAGAGAUAUAGAAGAGUGGGAAAUUUUGUAUGCUCAACUUCCAUCAGAACUUGGAUGCAACCCAAGCCUUGCAGCAAUGAAGAAGGUGGUAGCCCUUAGUUACAAUUACUUGCCUUCUCAUGUUAAGCCUUGCUUUCUAUACCUUUGCAUCUUUCCUGAGGAUUUUGAUGUCCAAAGGAAGCGCCUAGUUCAUAGAUGGAUUGCAGAGGGAUUUGUUAGAGCUAAGGGUGGAGUGAGAAUUGUUGAUGUGACAGAGAAAUAUUUUAAUGAGUUGAUUGACUGAAGUAUGAUUCAAGCAUCUAGAGUGAACAUAGACAAAGGUACUAUUAAGAGCUGCCGAGUCCAUGAUAUCAUGCAUGAUGUAAUGAUAUCAAUAUUGGAAGAAAAUUUUGUAUAUUUGAUGAGGGAUGAUGGAACUAGUGUAGUGGAGGAAAAAUAUUCGCCAUGUAGCGUACCAUGACAGCAAGUGUUCUAUUAUAGGCAUGGACUGGAGCCAUGUACGGUCGUUAACUUUGUUUGGCGAUGAGAGACCCAAAGAGCUCUCACCUCCAUUCUGUUCUCCCCAAUUGAAAAUGCUAAGGGUGCUGGAUCUACUAGAUAUUAUAUUUGGACUAGCAAAAAGAUAUGGAUAAAAUAUGGUUGUUGGGUCACUUGAAAUAUGCCAAUAUUAGGUGUUCCAAUGAAUGCUCAAGCAUUUAUGCACUUCCUACGGCCCGUUUGGUUGGAGGGAGUUUUUAGUAGGGAUUGAGAGUUUAGAGGGAUGAGGCUAUUAAGUGUUUUGUUUGGUUGGGAGACAUAGGAAUUUUGGUGGGAUGGGGAUGGGGAAUUGAGAAAGGAACUCCCUCCUUUUCAAUACCUGGGUAGGGACAGGUAAUUGGGAGGGAAUUCCUCCUCUACUUUAUCUAAGCAAAUCACAGCCAUCCAUUUUUAUUAAUGACCUAAUCUCCAACUAAACUCCCUAUCAAUUCCAUCAGCUCUACCAAACAAGAUAUUGGGAUUAAAAAUCAAAUUCCCAUCUUGAUCUCGUCAUAAAUUCCCUCGUGUAAAUUCCCAAUCCCCUUCCCUCGAGUUACCAAACAAGCCGUAGUUCGAUAAGAAAAUUACAAGAGUUACACAUUGGACAUAUCUGACACUUAUAUUACAACGCUACCAAAUGAGAUUAGUAAAUUGCAGUCUAUGUGUCCUCCGUGGUAGAAGACAAGGAUCCUACUAUGACCUUGAUACAUAUAAUCGUAAGGAACGUGUACUUAUUUUAUCAUGUAUUCCUUUGAUUAUGGCUUUAAGUGAUUCUGAUAACCAUAGAAGACUAAUUACCGAUCUACACACGGGUUGUUCAAGUCAUUGGCAUAGAAUUAAAGAUGGUGUAAGGGUACCAAGAGGAAUCAAGAAUUUGAAGAGAUUGAAAGUACUAGAGAUAGUGGAUAUCGCGGUAACUGACAGCAAAGCAAUUCAAGAGUUGGGGGAACUUAACCAGCUAAGAAAACUAAGUGUCAUGACAAAAGGGUCAAACAAGAAAAAGUGCAAAAUACUUUGUGCAGCCAUCGAAAAGCUCACUUCCUUCAAAUCUCUCUAUGUGGAUGGUGAUCAUGGAUACUCACUUGAUGGAACACUUGAGUGUCUUGAUUCUAUUUCCCAUCCUCCUUCCCUCAAGAGCCUUAGAUUGAAGGGGUGUAUUAAGGAGACACCCAACUGGUUUAGGGAGCUCAAACACUUGGUGAAGAUUUACUUAUAUAAAAGUCACCUAAAUGGAGAUACCAUGGAGAUACUCGGGGAACUACAUAAUCUCAUGGAUCUUCACUUUCGUUGGUAUGCAUACGUUGGGGAGAAGCUAGUGUUCAUUGAGGGAGCAUUCCAAAAUCUCCGGAAGCUUGUUGUUGAAACUGAGGAUAAACUAAGAGAGGUGAGGUUUGAGGAGGGCACCUCACCCCAGAUGGAAUGGAUAGAAAUCUGUCAUUGCGAACUGAUAUCAGGGAUUGUUGGUGUCAAGCACCUUCCAAGGCUCAAGGAGAUAGGACUCAAAUCUGCUAAAGUGGCAAGGCUUGGUCAGCUGGAGGGUGAAGUGGACACACACCCCAAUCGGCCCAUAUUGCGCCUGUCUGAGAAGCGAAGCUAUCACGACUUGGGGGAAACCCAUGUAUCUGUUGUUGAGGUGGAAGUGGCGGAUGAGCCCCUUCUCACCAGCAGCCUGUGGACGUUGACGAUCGAACAACAACCAGUCAGUCCUGCAUUAUGACAUUCAUGCAGCUACUUGUUUUGUUUUUCUCUUCUGUUCAGCACUAGCUUAGCUUAUCUCAUUUUCUUACUUUUUUCGUUCUUCCUUGUUGUCUCUAGCAAAACCCAAUAGUUAGCGAAGAAUGCUCGAUGGUGCCGAUCUCGCCUCUAGAUGGUGAUGAUGAUCAGUUCUCCGUUGUGAGCUCUCCUGGCUGCCUGUAGUGCUGAUCCCGGAGUCCCCUGCUGCAUUUUCCACCUCCCGUGCCUGAGGUCAGUUCAGUAUCUGCCCUGAGUCACCAUGCCGGUAUUUGUUUGUUUCUAUAUGAUUUGAUUAGUAGGAUGCUUUUUGUUUUUGAAAUUUUGUAUCAUGAUUGGUUGGAGCGUGUGAUUAGGUUUCUUACAGGUGCAGCAGAGGUCGUAUUUUGUUUUAAUGUGCACACCAGAUGUUCGUCCAAAUGUCUUGUCAAAAUUUUUUUAUCUUUUGAUUUGUCAAGUAUUUAUGAUUCGCAAUAUGAAACAUCGUUGGUCAGGAUCUGUGCUGCACGUAUCGAUGCAAUGUAAUGAUCCAAGUUACGGUUCCGUUUGUUCGUUAUCUUCUUAUCAAUUUAGGCCCUGUUUUUUUUUCAGCUUGGGAUUUUUAUAAUCUAGAUUAUUGAGUCAGAUUACUAUAAACUAGACUGUUAUAAUAUGUAGUAGAAUAAACGGUUAGUUGUUUCUUUCCUAGAUUAUUAGAGCCUAGAAUAUUAGGUUUGCAAGUCUAAAGAGGGAGUGGGGUGGCAUGGUGGGUAAUUUUUCACCCAAUAAUCUAGAAAAAGCUCACCUAAAUGAGCUUAUCAGAUUAGAGUAAGCUGGGCUCCAGAUUAUAAUAAGCUACUUCAAUAAGUUGUCUGUUUCUUUCAGCUUACUCCCAAUAAACUGGAUUAUAAUAAUCCCAAUCUGAAAGAAACAGGGCCUUAGUGUUCCGUACCAGAUUUUCAAAAAGGAACUAAUAUUUCUUACCAACCAUUUCUGAUGUAAUCUCUCUAUCCACUGUCAUACCGUGUUACCUGUAGACUGUAGUCUGUAGACAUAAAAAAAGUACCUUUUUGGUCUCUGAAACAUUUACCUGUAUCGACUGGUCUCCAAUAUAUCCUUUUGUUUUCAUUCAAUUUGAAACGGCCUUCUUUUUGCCAAUCCAUUAAAGAACUGGUUUGCGAAUGUUUAGUUUGAGAGUAGCUUGACCAAAUGGGCCUUAAGCCUGAUUGCAGUGGAUUUUACUUGCUCAGGGUAAAACCAAAUUAAAGGAUCAUGUUCAUUCUCAGGAAUCUCUAGCAUGGAAUGAGAACAAAAAUCAUAACAAUGGUCAAGGUAACAAGACUGAACCAACCACCAUGGCGCUAAUCAUCGAUCUGAAAUAACAUCGGAACUUGAAAGCUUCAGAACGUCCAUCGUCUAUUCGUCAGUGCGUGCAAACUCUGAAGUCUGAACCGCGAAGUAGUCAUCAAGGUCGUAGUCUCGUAGAUAUGAUGUUCGUUACCAAUACCUGUUUCUAAUCGAUUCCUUUAUGUUUUUCCGUUCAUUUUCUCUCAGUUUUAUGGAACACUAUUCAGCUGGGGACGAGAUGUGGAAUACUCAACGGAGUACAUUAGACGCAUGAAUGCAUGCAUUUGAUGCAUAGAAUACGGGUCUUGGAGGGAUACGCGUAGGCUACGAUAGCAUAAAUUAAAAUUUUCUACCGCGUAAACCAAGAACCAUACAAAUAUUGGAUCAUAGAUCGUUACCACUUGACGCGCUGCGCAGCGGAAGAAAAUGCUAAAAAGGCGAAGGAACCCUCGCGAUGUAGCGCGCGUCGAUGUUGAAGAAGUAGUCGAUCGCACCGGCUCGACCUUCUCCUCCUCAUGCGUUCUCCUCGCCGUACUCCCACGCUGAUCAGUAUCGCAAAGCAGUGGCGCCUCUACCGGUAUCCACACGUAUAGGGACGGAACGCCAUAUGCAGAUGUGCUAGCACCCGCGCGCGGCUAGGGUUUUGCUCGGGGAAAGGAGUGGCGGCUAGGGUUUGUCACGUGAUGCAAUGCCUCCGCCGGUCACACCCCUCACGAAUAUAUAGGAUCUAUGACUCGGUUCUCCAAGGCCCGUGGGACUCCUAUUCGGAUCCCUAUCCGAAUUAAGCUCAUAUUGGAUCUCCAUCCAAUCCCCUUAUUCCGGCUCAUUAAGUGUGCGGCCCUGUAGGUUCAUGCACACUCGACUGUAACCCGAAAACUCUUUUUCGGUCCACGUGUCAACAGCGGCCCCUAACAGAACGUAUUGACUGACCGGGCAUACACAAAGAUCAUAUCGGUUGAACCUCUAGUGUAUACUUGUAUGAACCUCUUUGCCUCACGAUAUCGAUUAAGCUCAAGGCUAGAUAUGUGCCAUCCUCUAAUAGCUCAAUCAUUCACUCGAACCUGUGAUAGAUUACAUAACUCGUGACUGUCCUCAACCACCUUUGGCAUGGCCAUGCAUUUCCAUAAUCUAUAACAUCGAGGGACCCAGAGAUAUCUCUCUAUAGGAGGGGCAAAUCCCAUCUUGAUUAUUCAUAUCUCACUACACGUUUCAUAGCAUACCCGAAAAUUACUUUUAUAACUACCCAAUUACGGAGUAGCGUUUAGCAGUCCCUAAGUAAGCUACUACACAUGUUGGAAACCAUGAUAAUAUCAGGUCUAUGGAUUCAACACCAACACUAAAUGAGAUCACUGAUGACACAACACAUAUGGCUCUUGCAGUGUCUCAUAUUGGGUCUAUCCAACAAUAUGUUUCCCAACAUGUGUCCACAUUAUUAAUUUGGUAUCUCUAUACCAUGAUCCAUAAGACAUGAUCAUCAAUUAAUACAUGUGCUGAUCAUUAAACAUAUUUGUUCCACAUAUGAUAUUUGAUCAGGGAUCUUUUAGAAAUAGCAACAUACAACAUAAAGAGUCUCAUAAAAGAAUCACAUAUUCAGUAACCAAUAAUGAGUUAUCUAUUUUAAGGAACAAUGUCGGAUAAAUAUGUAAACAUAAUAUAUGAUACAAUCAUCUCUAUUAUUGCCUCUAGGACAUAUCACCAACAGGUCUGCAAUGCAGUGAUGAUGACACCUGUGCAAAAUAUUUCAGUCAGGGAACUCAGGAUCACUAAAAGAUGUCGAUGUUGCCUCUCUGGAAUGUAUGACAUCUCACUUCUCAGGAAGGAUUGGAGCCGGUGCCGCCAUCAGAAAUCACAACGGCCAGAUUUCUGUGUCAUUGAGAUGCUAUAUGUAUCGGAAGACUUCAGAUAAAAAAAUAUCUUCUCAUCUCCAGGUUACUGAACAACGGAGAGUCAUUCUACUCCUAUAUGCUACUUUUAACUUUCACUAGCUAGUCUGUAUGAUUGAUUUGUUUCCUUUUUUUUUUUGCACUUACAUUUGUUAAUGUAUAUGUGUGUAUAUAUUAGGAUAGAGGGCCCAUUUUGGACAUGUAUAUGUGUACUGUUGAACUAAUGUUGACCAGAAUAUCUGAAAUUCCCCAACAUUAUGAAUUGCGCUGGAUCUAGAUCACCACGAGAAGCUAAGCCGGUUGUGUUGGCGGGAUUGGUCGCUUCAAAAACUAGAUGAUACCCCGCGCGUUGCUGCGGGAUUUUGUAGGUAGAAAUGGAGAGCUACACGUGGAGGCAUAAGAGAUAAAUGUAAUAGUAGCCAUCGGAAAUGGUAAUUUUUUUCAAACAAACAACUAUUUCUGUAGGAUGAAAUCUAUAAACUGGAGUAGCAACAUCCGUGAAGGUUAAGAUAGCAUUUCUCAGAUAUAGUAAUAGCAACGCAAGAGAUACUAAUUUUGAUUAUUGGUAUUGACCUUCUCUUCAGUUAGACUGCAUUUGAGGUAAUCCAUUUUUUAUGUAAGAAAUGUUAGAAGCAUAUGAGGGUCAGAGAUAGCUUCAGUUUGUUGAGGUUAUAGAAGAAUCCAUUUGAGCAACUGCAUCCAUGUUCACUUGUGAAGAACAGACAAAUGAAAAAUGAGCAGCAUCUCGUUUGAAAGUUUGAGGAUUCCUGAAGGGAAGAGCAAUAAAUGGCAAAGUAUAGACAAUACGACGAUGCAAAAGAAGCUAGAAGCAGUUUGCAUGACAACAAAGAAUGCAGACGGUUAACAUGACAACAGAGAAUGCAAGGUACCAGGAAGGCAGGAAUAGAGUAAUAGAGAAAAUAAUGUAAUAGGAGUAACAUUUAUUAAUUGGUGAUUAAUGAUAACCUGCUGGUUGGUUCUCGUUGAAUAUCCAUGUGUUGGAAUAAGAAUAAAGCUGUUGAGAAUAGGAGAAAUGAAAGGGAGUUGUCAUAAGGAGAAACAUAAUGGUGUAUGUGAUACUUAUAGAGGUUGAGUAGUAAUGUGGUACCGAAUCGUGGAGAAUAGUGAAAAUAAUAUCUGAUUUAUUGUUGACUGCUUAUUGAAUUAGCAUUGAACAGUACAAUCAGAGUAGCUAAUUGAAUCGUGGAGGGUGUGGCCCUUUGGCUAACUUUUUAUGCACGUUUAUGCAUUUUUAUUAAUUUAUUGGAUCAACAUAGUGCAACCCCUAUCUAUCCCUUUACCAUAAAGUAAAUUCAAAGAAGAAAACAAUGUUUAUCUUCUCAUGUUAAGUGUUGUUAGAAUGUCUGAAUCAGAACCCAUCUUAAUUUUCUCUGUUUCUUAGGAUAUCAAUCAUGUCUUAGAGCUGAAAGUUUGUAUCAACAGAAACACAAUAACUUGUAGUAUUUUGGGCUAAAAGAUCCAUAAAACUGAAGAUAAAUAGUCAGAUGGCCUUGAUGAAUAACCCAAUGUUUGACAAACUGUUCAAUUUUGCUAUUACAAAUAGCAUUCUUUAUACUCUAGCCAGAAAAAAAAAAUGAAAAAUGGAUAUAAAGUAGGAUCAUCAUAUACCAAAGAAGAAUCAGGAUAGAUAUAUCAAAAAUUAGGGAUCGAUGUGUAUGAAAAAUAGCUAGACAGUGUUGUUAUGGAAGGAAUAACUUGUACCUCUUGCGAAGCAAGUGUCGCAGUAUGGGCAUAUAAUAAUAUAUAGAAAUCAAGUUACCAUGAAUGAAUAUGGGGCAAUUAUGAUUACCCAAUGUAUAUACAGAUUGCUCCAGCUGUUGCUUUGGAUGGGAAUGUCAUGGGGACUAAUCUCAGCGGUAGCCCAUAGUUGCUGAUGCAACAAUAGUAAGCAAUCUGCUAAUGGAAAACAAUCUGCAUCCGGAAUUCAUAAGGUAUAUACUGCGUGAUGUAAAAUUGGUAUACAUACCAAUGAUCCUCAUACCAUGAAUUGUCUCCUUUAGUGAAGUGUAUAUACUAAAUUUCGCAUAACAUAUUUUCGUAUAAAUUAUUAGCUGAGUUUCAUACAACACUAAGGCUGCAUUCGGGAGUGAGGUUUGGAAAUCCUCACUCCCGGGCACGUAAAACGGAGCAGCGAUUAGGGCGUGAUUAAUUAGGUUUUUGCUAAUUUUUUUUUUCAAAAAAGGAUUAAUUUGAAUUUUUUAAGCAACUUUCGUAUAUAAACUGGAAUACCAUAAGAUUGACAAAAUUAAAGGCGGUACACUGGAAUACAAGCUCCAUAACUAAGAGAGUGUUUAGAUCCAAGAGUGUAAAGUUUUGACGUGUCACAUCGGAUAUUAUAUAGGGUGUCGUAUGGGGUGUUUGGACACUAAUAAAAAACUAAUUACAGAAUCCGUCUGUAAACCGCGAGAGGAAUUUAUUAAGCCUAAUUAAUUCGUCAUUAGCAAAUAUUUACUGUGGCACCACAUUGUUAAAUCAUGAAGCAAUUAGGCUUAAAAGAUUCGUCUCGUCAAUUAGUCGCAAUAUGUCCAAUUAAUUAUUUUUUUACAUAUAUUUAAUACUUUAUAUAGGUGUUCAAACGUUCGAUGUGAUAUGGUGUAAAAUUUUGAAAUGGGAUCUAAACAUGCCCUAAAAUAAUUCUUGAGCACAAAAAUCCUCAACAAUUUAAACCUGCAAUAUUUAAGGUAUUACAAACAAUACUAUGGUAUCAUAUACAGCGAAAGGUCAUCGUGGCCAGAUGGGCCGACCUGGCCAGCUUCAACUAUCAGCAAAGGUAAGGAAAUAAGAGCCGUCGGAACUACAGAUCUGCAGCAGAUGAGAGAGAAGAGCAGCUGGCUACAGAUCUGUAGCCAGCUGCAGAACGGACUCCAAGACAUAAUGUGUGUAUGACAGAUGGGACCAUAUAUUAAUAGUAUAGUAAAUAACUAUUGUAUAAAUUGGCUAUUAGAUUGGCUAUAGAUUAAUUGGAGCUAGUAAUGGGCUGUACUAUUAAACUUGCUCUAAUGAUAAUCCUCUCUGCUUGAAUUGUUCAGUGUAAAAGCUAGCUACAAAUUCUGAUUGCAGAGCCAGAAGAGCCAGUCGCAUUGUCCUAUCUCCUUUGCGGUUGUGAGCUGCUUGCUGUUCUGAGCGUGAACCGUGAAGGGAGAUCUAGUCGAGGAGAGUCGAUGGCGGAGACGGUGCUGAGCAUGGCGAGGUCGCUGGUGGGGAGCGCCAUCAGCAAGGCCGCCUCCGCCGCUGCCGACGAUACCAGCCUCCUGCUCGGCGUCGAGAAAGACAUCUGGUACGUAAUAUGUACUGUGGCUCUCGUUUAUUCUGUACUAGCUUACUGAUCAGCAUUUAUUGUAUCGACAUCCUUCUUAGCCUCGAUUUUGUUGGCCAUCAAUCCUGAUCGGAACAAAUCACUAAGUCAAGCAAAUCAAUUGAUGAGUGCACAAACUUUUUUUUUUUGCAUGACCAAUCUUGAGUUCUUGAGGGGCGAAACAGACGCACCCGACCGCAGUCACCCUCUCCCUCCUCCCACAGUCCCACUCCUCCCCUCCGCCUUGCCGCUACCCGAGCGACCGCCGGAAAGCCAAGUGGCUGCAAGGACGGUGGCGGUGGGGCAUGCUCUCUCUCUCUCGGCGCUGCAAAGGAGGGGGCACCGUCGCAUCUAGGAUGGCAAAGGCGUCUCCACGCCAGUCAGAUCCGGUGAGUGGCUGGCAGAAAACGAGGCGGAAUAGCGGAGAGCCGAGCCAGUGCUUGGUGUGGCUAGCAACAUGGGAGGCUAGCGAUGCGGUAGCAAGCAGUGGUGGUAACUACAAAUCUAUAGCUCCCUUGCCAGAUCUGACGACCCCGCAACCGGAUCUGGCGAUGGCCCAACGGUGUCGGAGGCUACGCAUCCGAGAAUGUUUUGGUAAGGCGACGGCACAGUCGUGCGACGACCGGUAAUCCAUGGGGGUGAGGACGCAACAAGGUGCAACCAAGGAAGCACCGUGACAUGCCGAGGAGGAUGCGGCGGCUCGCCAUGAGUGGAUCUGGAAGCGACAGAUGUAGCUAGAUUUGGUGGGCGGGGUCGCAGCAGCAACAUGUGCCGCCGAUGCGAUGUGGCAGUGGCUGCUUGAGAUGCCAGAUGGGGCCCAUGUGAUGGAGGCCAGAGGAGCAGCCAGUGGGCCGACGGGGAGGAUGCAAGGUGUGGUGGGCUGCAGCGACGGCUCGGUGCGAGCAAGAGCGACGUCUGUGCAUGCUGGGACAUCCUAGCGGGGCGGCGUGAUGGUAGGAGGUCGGCAGACAAAAUAGCGUGCCACGGAAGGUGGGGCCAUGGCUGGUCGGCGGUGGGGCAUCGGCGCAGCGAACCCACAGGCUAGCGGAGGCUGUUGGGGUGGUGGAACGCAGGGGUGGUGAUGACAGGGAAGGGUGAAAAUCUAGCUCGGUGUUUCGUCGGGCCGGCAACGAUGACACCUUCAAGCGCCGUCUUCCCCCUUUGGGGCGUUGUCGAGCUAUGACCCUCUCCCUCCUCACAGGACUCUCCAGAUGAAAACCUAGUCCAUUUAGAUGGGUCAUGGCGGCAACCUUGGCAUCAUGAUCUUCUUGGAGGCAUUGUCCAGGAGGUCUUGUUUCCUCACCUUGCAAUGCCCCGAUCAUUUUUGUCUUUGGGAUUCUUUCAGUCGUUGUCAUCGGGUUACCGUGAGGGACAAGUGGAUUGUCUUGUCUCUCUCGCCCUCUCACUCCUCAACCCUUCUACGUGAUAAUGAUUGGGAGCCCGUUGAUGACCUUCUAUUUGGAUCUAGUGCUCGGUGGGGCCUUUGCAACCUAGUGUAGGACUAGCGGUGAUCGGUCACGCAUAGAGGCGGUCGGUUCGGUGCUAGUGCUUCUCUUGGGGUAUGUAAGGAGUCGCUAGAAUGUGGUGGUGUGCUUUUUAUUUUUCCUUUCCCUGAUUAUAACCUUCUAGGGCUGUAAUUUUGUUUUUUUUUCUUGCUAUAUUAAUAUGAAACUUCACACUGCCUUGUGCGGCUCGUUUAAAAAAAAAACUUGAGUUCUUGACACUAUAAGUAUGUUAGUAGUGGAGUCGACAUUAGUUUAUCUAAAACAUCUCUUCAUAUAUAUGAAGGCCACUAAUGAUUUUUCUUUCCUAGGGAACCAAAGUUCCGCGGUAUGUUAAUCCACAAAUCCCCUUGUAAGAUAUCCUAUGGCAAAUGAACUAAAGGCAUGUACAAUGAUAAUAAUUAAUAGGAGAAUCUUAACAUUUCUAAUUAGUUCUAAUUAGGAAUAUUAACUGAUAUGGAAGAGAGAGAGAGAGAAAGAGGAGAGAUAGAACAUUGUUGUUACGGUUAACAAUGGCUCAGCAACUACUUGCCUCUUUAAAAUGGAAACUUGGUUGCGAGGGUGAAAAAAAGGAAAGAAUAUUAGUAAAGAAUAUAUUUUUUGUUUAGUAGUUAAAAUAUUUGUUGUCUCAAUUGUUUAAGGGCACACUCUAAAUAAUUUUGUGUUAUCUAAGAGUCCAUACCAUGCAGAGGACCCGCGUUUUCCACGUGGACAACCAGAGCAGUAACAAACCCUAGCGCCUCCACCCCCUUAGAUGGGCUGUGGCGGCGCUUUCGGCAUUGCGUUUUCUUUGGAAGUAUCAUUUAGAAAAUCCUAUUAUUGCCUAGCCUGCCUUAAGGAAGUUCAGGCGACACCCUUGGAUGGCGAUGUCCGAGAGCCCGUGGAUGUUUAGUUGUUUAGACAUGGUGUUGGACGGUCGAAUGGUGGGCCUGUUGUAGGUAUGGUGGCAUCUGGCAACCAGUCAUGCUUAGCAAUAGAUUCCUAUGCAGAAGACAUUCGCAAUCAAUCAGCUCGAAAUGUGGAUGAAGCUGAGCUUGUUGGGUUUUCUGACUCCAAGAAAAGGCUGCUUGAAAUGAUCGAUACCAAUGCUAAUGAUGGUCCGGCCAAGGUAAUCUGUGUUGUUGGGAUGGGUGGUUUAGGCAAGACAGCUCUUUCGAGGAAGAUCUUUGAAAGCGAAGAAGACAUUAGGAAGAACUUCCCUUGCAAUGCUUGGAUUACAGUGUCACAAUCAUUUCACAGGAUUGAGCUACUUAAAGAUAUGAUACGCCAACUUCUUGGCCCCAGUUCUCUGGAUCAACUCUUGCAAGAAUUGCAAGGGAAGGUGGUGGUGCAAGUACAUCAUCUUUCUGAGUACCUGAUAGAAGAGCUCAAGGAGAAGAGGUACUUUGUUGUUCUAGAUGAUCUAUGGAUUUUACAUGAUUGGAAUUGGAUAAAUGAAAUUGCAUUUCCUAAGAACAAUAAGAAGGGCAGUCAAAUAGUAAUAACCACUCGGAAUGUUGAUCUUGCGGAGAAGUGUGCCACAGCCUCACUGGUGUACCACCUUGAUUUCUUGCAGAUGAACGAUGCCAUAACAUUGCUACUGAGAAAAACAAAUAAAAAUCAUGAAGACAUGGAAUCAAAUAAAAAUAUGCAAAAGAUGGUUGAACGAAUUGUAAAUAAAUGUGGUCGUCUACCAUUAGCAAUACUUACAAUAGGAGCUGUGCUUGCAACUAAACAGGUGUCAGAAUGGGAGAAAUUCUAUGAACACCUUCCUUCAGAACUAGAAAUAAACCCAAGCCUGGAAGCUUUGAGGAGAAUGGUGACCCUAGGUUACAACCACCUACCAUCCCAUCUGAAACCAUGCUUUUUGUAUCUAAGUAUCUUUCCUGAGGAUUUUGAAAUCAAAAGGAAUCGUCUAGUAGGUAGAUGGAUAGCAGAAGGGUUUGUUAGACCAAAGGUUGGGAUGACGACUAAGGAUGUCGGAGAAAGUUACUUUAAUGAGCUAAUCAACCGAAGUAUGAUUCAACGAUCAAGAGUGGGCAUAGCAGGAAAAAUUAAGACUUGUCGAAUUCAUGAUAUCAUCCGUGAUAUCACAGUUUCAAUCUCGAGACAGGAAAAUUUUGUAUUGUUACCAAUGGGAGAUGGCUCUGAUUUAGUUCAGGAAAACACUCGCCACAUAGCAUUCCAUGGGAGUAUGUCCUGCAAAACUGGAUUGGAUUGGAGCAUUAUUCGAUCAUUAGCUAUUUUUGGUGACAGACCCAAGAGUCUAGCACAUGCAGUUUGUCCAGAUCAAUUGAGGAUGUUACGGGUCUUGGAUCUUGAAGAUGUGACAUUCUUAAUCACUCAAAAAGAUUUCGACCGUAUUGCAUUGUUGUGCCACUUGAAAUACUUGAGUAUUGGAUAUUUGUCAUCCAUAUAUUCACUUCCCAGAUCCAUUGGUAAACUACAGGGCCUACAAACUUUGAACAUGCCGAGCACAUACAUUGCAGCACUACCAAGUGAGAUCAGUAAACUCCAAUGUCUGCAUACUCUUCGUUGUAGUAGAAAGUUUGUUUCUGACAACUUUAGUCUAGACCACCCAAUGAAGUGCAUAACUAACACAAUAUGCCUGCCUAAAGUAUUCACACCUUUAGUUAGUCGCGAUGAUCGUGCAAUACAAAUUGCUGAAUUGCACAUGGCCACCAAAAGUUGCUGGUAUAAAUCAUUCGGUGUGAAGGUACCCAAAGGAAUAGGUAAGUUGCGAGACUUACAGGUUCUAGAGUAUGUAGAUAUCAGGCGGACCAGUAGUAGAGCAAUCAAAGAGCUGGGGCAGUUAAGCAAGCUGAGGAAAUUAGGUGUGAUGACAAAUGGCUCGACAAAGGAAAAAUGUAAGAUACUUUGUGCAGCCAUUGAGAAGCUCUCUUCCCUCCAAUAUCUCUAUGUGAAUGCUGCAGGAUACUUUGUGCCUAGAUUCUAUUUCCUCUCCUCCUCCCCUACUGAGGACACUCGUGUUGUAUGGAAGUCUUGAAGAGAUGCCUAACUGGAUUGAGCAGCUCACUCACCUGAAGAAGAUCUACUUAUUGAGGAGCAAACUAAAGGAAGGUAAAACCAUGCUGAUACUUGGGGCAUUGCCCAACCUCAUGGUCCUUGAUCUUUAUCGGAAAGCUUACCUUGGGGAGAAGCUAGUAUUCAAAACAGGAGCAUUCCCAAAUCUUAGAACACUUUCGAUUUACGAUUUGGAUCAGCUAAGAGAGAUUAGAUUUGAGGACGGCAGCUCGCCCCAGUUGGAAAAGAUAGAAAUCAGAUUCUGCAGGUUGGAAUCAGGGAUUAUUGGUAUUAUCCACCUUCCAAGGCUCAAGGAGAUUUCACUUGGAUACGAAAGUAAAGUGGCUGGGCUUGCUCAGCUGGAGGGAGAAGUGCGCACACACCCAAAUCACCCCGUGCUGCGAAUGAGGGAGGACCGAAGUGAUCACGACCUUGCUUGUGACGCCGAAGGAUCCCCUGUUGAAGUGGAAGCAACGGAUCCCCUCCCAGAGCAGGAGGGAGAGAGCUCGCAGGUGAUCACGUUGACGUCGAACAACAGGUCAGUCACUCCCUACAUGGCAGCUUAAUUAACUUGUUUCAAAUUAUCUUUUUGUUCAGUAUUAGCGAUCGGGUGAUAUCGAUGAUUUCAACUCACCCUUUCAUCUCUCUGGUUUUCUUAACCUAACAGCGAAGAGAUAAGCACAGCUCAAGCUGGUUUUAUCAAGUGAUGAUCUCCUCCUCCAUUGGCAUCUCCGGUCGUCCCUGCUUCUGCGGCUGCGCACACCUCGCUGUUCCGAGGAGGGGUGCUGAUCUAAGGAGGCUUCCACUUUCUUCAAUUGCGUCUCACGCUCUCGAUUCUUCCCUCUCGGGUAUGAAUUGUUUCAAUCUGACCUUUUCUCGUGAUAUGCUACUGGUUCCAGCAUGAGCAUUUGAACCAGCAGCUUAGAAUUAUCGUUUGAUCAGGUGUUUUUUUUAUCCAUUCUUACCUGGGAACUCUACUUUUCCAACUCAUUCAGAACAGAAACCAUGUUUAUUACACUAUAGAGGGGAACACGAGUUGUGGUUUUGUUAUUUCCUUUUUGGUGUGCACACCAGGUGUUUGCUAGAAUGUCUGAAAGAGCUUGUGUAUACUUGGUUGGCUCAACAUUAUGUGUUAGGUCAUAUUUUAUAUAGUUGCUGACCUAUCACAUAUUGCAGGAGUAAAAUUUUUGCUAUGUUUAUUGUUCCUUGCUGUUGAUUUUCCUUUUCGUAAAGAAUAUUAGCUUUUUAGAUAACGAAAGGAAUAUUAUGUAUCCUGCAAAAAGGUUUGAUUUGGUGGUCACUGGCUAGUAGAAAAGCAACGAGAGAUCAGACAAAACAAAGUUAUGGCUACAAUAGCUCAUUGCAAUUUAUUUGCUGAACAUGUGAAAAAUUAAUAAUUGUCGCAUGUCAUGUUGCUUUGGCAUUCUGCCUGCAGGUGGUUAGUUGUUUCAUAUCCAUUGUCUUGUCUACCUUUUCCUACUAAACUAGCUAGGAGUAGAAAAAGUAAUUGUUGGUUCCAAGUUCAAAAGAUAGGCAGAUGUUAGCUAAGGAACUUGCAGUUCUUGAUCUCCUUCAGAGCUUCUCACCUCACAUAUAUGGAUCUCUGUUUAUCCUAAAGCAACAUUUUUUUAAUCUGCUAGUUUCAAAUUGAUCAUCUUUGUUAUUCUUCAUUUAUUUUAUUUUUCUCCCUAAGAGAGUUUGCUAGGGUGGAGAUGUGGACAAUCGAAUGCAGCUAUGCUGUUCAAACCACUGUCAAAAGAUGCAGGACAGGAUGGGCAGAUGCUUGUUCAGUGUUCUUGUUCAAAUGAAACCUAUACUAUUCUGGAAGAGGUUGGUUAAUUUACUUUGUACAUAACCCUUACCUUGUUAAUUAUCCUCUUGCAAAAUGCAUGGAUUGGUGAAAUCAUGUUUUUUGUCACGCAGAAUUGUUUUCUGAAGCUCAAAGUUGAAGCUGCAAUCUUCACUGUUUCUGGCAGAACCAAAUUGGUGGCUUGGUGCUGCAUACCUGCAGAGAACGCAACGGCCACUGCUUGUAGCCUUGAGGAUGCUACAUUAUUGAUCAUCUUACUAAGGCCCCCGAUCAAACUUUGAAUGUAAUUAGAUCUGCCCAGGUUCUCAAAAUUUCUUGGCUCCGCCGCUGCUUGAAUCGAUAUGUCAUAUGCUGCAAAUUAAGUGAAUUGGAGAUGUACAUGCGCUCGCUAUAUUGUAAUUGUGGGGUAGCAACUUUAUCUCGGGUACAACCAUGGAACAAGGGUGAUGAAUCAAACUAUUUGCUGUCAUUUGAAGAGCUCCAGCAGACAUAUUUCAUGAAAUUGUACUAAUUCUUAUUUGUGUACAAUUGAUUAUCUCAUUACAUCUUGCAUUCUGUUAGACAUAUGUAUUUCCAUACAUUGUUUACACCUGCUAUGACUGAUUGAGGAUAUGGCAAAGCUUAAAAGAUGAUGUUAACAUGGUCACAUGGAGAUGAAGGAACAUGCAUAUACAGGGCACUCCAUUUUCUGUUUUCUCUCAAUCUUAUGUAGAGUUAAUAUAUGGACAGUAGCAGUAGUUACAUCUUUCUGUCAACUAGGCAUACUACCCACGUGUUGCUCCUGGUCUUUUCGGCAUGGUCUAUAUUAAGAUGUAAACUUAUUUAUUAAAUCAAUUCAAUCGUGUCGCAUUGGUUCAUUUAUUUACACUUGUUAUGAUAUGAUCCCUGUUGUAAAAUAUAAGAACUUUUACGAUUCUAACACUAUUUAUAAUAUUUAUAUGAGCAAUUUUACAGUACUUAAGGAGGUACCAUGAGGUUUAAAAAUUUAGUACCUCCUAGUACUUAGGUAUCAAGAGGUACCAAAUAUAAAAUAGAAAAAGUGGUAGCUCAUCAGAUACUAUAAAAUUGCUCAGAUUACAAUAGUACUUGUCUCACUAGUUAUUUUCUAUUCAGUUCUUUUGUCUUACCCCCACAUACCUUUCCACACUCAUCCAUUUCUCUGGUGAAUAACUAAAAAUGUUUAUAUUUCAGAGCGGAGGUAGCAAGAAAAUACAAAUAACUAGAGUAAAGGCUGUUGAAUAGUCUCACAUUAGUUGUGAAAGGGCAAAUGGCACAAUAUAUAAGUGGGGUAGCCCCACACCUUAUUACCUAGCUUUUGUGUGGGAAAAGACCUUUUACGAUCUUACAAUUGGUAUCAGAGGCUGGCUAAUUCAACAUCUUUGACCCAAGGGCACUACUAGAAAAAGGGUUUUCGCUGUCGGCCAGAGGUGCUGCCAGCAACAAAAGGCCAGAGAAAAUAAUACACUUUCACUAAUGGUCGAUCGACCUCCAGCGAAAAUCAAUUUUCGUUGGUGGAGGCUCAUUUUCACUGGCAGUGGGGCGGCCACCAGCAAAAAGUUGGUUUCACUGGUGUUGGUAUUUCUUACGACCACAGAUAAAUCCGCAAGCGCACGGAAUACCGCAGUAGCACUUCACAUUCGGGUGACCCCAAAAGGAUAUCGAACUCAGGGUACGUGUAUAAUCUACCUAAGACUAAGACAAUCUAAGGACAACAACUGAUGGUAGGCAGGCUAGACUAGAGAGGACUUUCUAUGUGUUAAUUAUCUACGCUAAGCAAAGGUAAUUUCCUAUCUGUUGCUUCAGGCACCAACCCCUGCUGAUCUGCCAGCGUGGUUCCGGCUAUAGCUCUAUGAUGUAUCCGAACGUUGAGGAUUACUAAGACGGGAUUCAGGGCUGUCACCACCUGCUAUCUACCUCUGACAAAUCCGUGGGAUACAGAACAAACAAAGGUAAUCUCUAACCUAGACACCACGUCUAAGUUAUUAAUUACUACUCUAAUACUUGCGUAGGAACUUCCUUUAAUAUCCAGAGUCUUAGUACUAGAGCACUUAGUAUGAAUACUAAACAAUAAACCCGCAAAGAUAGAAAUCUAUCUUACUUAGACUAAGUAAUUAAAUAACAUAAGAAAGGAACACGAAUGCUUACUUUAUAGAAGAAGUUCUCCGAACCCGGAGUAGAGUGUACCGACAGCUCCGGUACUCCUCCAGAAUUCCUCCUAGAAGGCUACACUCGUCAAGAAAGAAGUUGGAGAGAGCGCCAAACUUCCGGGCACACCUCCAGAGCUUCCCCUCACUCUCUACCUUAUUCUAAUGUACACAAGAUAGAAUAGAGCCUCUUGCAAUUCAGCUCAAAGGUGUGUGUUGUGAAUGAGAGUGAGGAGCACUAUUUAUAGCCUCCAUAUGACGGUUACAGGUAUGGGAAAUGACCAAACUACCCUCUAACCAUCAUUGGGAUGAAAUCAAGACCGUCCAGGUGAAAUAUGGCGAUCAACGGCCUCCAGAUGGGUUCGGCCGAACCCAGGACGGCUCCGUUCAACCCGGUUUUCCUCAUGGACACUAAUUUUGAGGCCCUCAGCCCAUUGGCAUGGUGGAUUGGGCCAUUUGGAGGUGUUUAAUUGACUUAUGGGGCCUCCAAUCCGUGUAAACGUGUCCUGAAUGAGCGGAGGUGCAUUUUAUCGCAUGACGGAUGUGUUUUCUCUUUAAAAUAUCUGCAUUCACAUAUUUCACCAACGCUAGUGGAAAUGAUACUAUGUUUUAUUUCAUUAUAUGCAGGUAUGGACGGUCAAAUGUUAUGAUUUAAGGACCGUCAACAGCUGGCAACAAGUAAUGAGACCCGCCAGUGAAAAUAAUUUUGGAGAAAACAAAUAUAAAAAUCAGAUGUGGGAACUGUCGACGGCAUGAUCAGUUGGUGAGGGUCAACAGCGUAGUGUUGUUGGUGUCGCCGCCACCCUCUCCCCCACCAUCCGGUAGUUUCCGCUGUCAUCCUUCACCACCGUGUUGUCAUUGUUAUUCUCGUUCUUGCUGUUGUCCCUAUAGUGGCCCUCAUCGGGGGACGUGAGCAACGAGGUGGAUUGUGAGAGGGAGGCGAGCGUGAACGCUUCGAGCAGCGAGGCGGACCACGAGAGGGCAGGGACAGCAUGGCCAUUGCCAGAUCCACUGCCACCACCCCUCAUCUUCGACACCAUGUAAGCGGACCCGGUGGUCCUAAGCGUUGCCGCCGCCGCCGGAUCUACCACCUCCACCGCCACCACGCCUCUCCUUCGCCACCACCAGAUCCAUCCCCUCCACUAUCACCGCUUGUCUCCUUCGACGCUGUGAAGGAAGAUCUGCCAAGGGGAAGUCACUGUUGUCGUUGUUUUCUGCUUGUGGCCGAUGGCGAGGUCGAGGUCACUGCUACCGACACCGAACCGCAACCCUAGCCGCUGGAUCCAUCCACUACACCGUCGCCGCCCGUCUCCUUCCCCGCCGCCGGAUGCUCGCAUCGCGACCCACCGCUGCUGGAUCCGAGCCCUCGUGACCCGCUGUUGCCGGAUCCAUGCCCCCUCCCCUCUGGCCAAAUCUAGGAGAGGGAGGGGAGGGUUGUGUCGCCGUCGCCACUCCCUGUAGUGCGGCCACCUAGUCGUCGAGGCCGUGCGCGUUCUGCACUGGACCACGCCGCUGCCUCUCCUGCGCGCUGCCGCCGAGCUCUGCCACGCAAUGCCACCUGGCCAAGCCGUGUCGCUGCUGAGAUAGCCGAGAAAUCGAGAGAGAGAGAGAGAGAGGAGAUAGAUAGAUUGAGAGAGAAGUUGUGCCGCUGCUGAGAUACCGAGAGAGAGAGAAGAUAUCGCUGAGAGGGAACCGAGAAAAAAAAAGAGGAAGUGAAAAUUUGACUUCCGCGCAUGCUCCCACGAUUUUUGCUGGCGGUGGCUUAGGUGGGCAGCUAGUGAAAAUUGAUUUUUGCUGGCAGUGGCUUAGGUGGGCCUCUAGCGAAAAGGGUGCAGCUUCGCUGGCCGGCCGCCAGCAAAAAUACCUGUUGGUACCGGAUUCCAAAAAUUUGUGCACCGUUACCCACAAGACAAGAUCCUUUAUUUCUAACCAUUUCUUAACCCGGCCGCCAGCAAAGAUCCAUUUUCGCUGGCAGUCCUUUGCCCCACACCCCUCGUUACAUUUUCUCUGGCGGUGUUCGUGUAUGGUCGCCAGAGAAAAAAGAUAGGUGGACGCCAUGAAAAAUUGAUUUUGUAGUAGUAGAGACAGUGUGUGAAAGCCUGAUGGACCGUGGGUGCCUGUGCGGCCUGUCUACGUGAGGGACUGUGGGGUAUGGCAAAGGGGCGGUAAACGGCUGAGGGACUGUUGACGGCUGUUAAGUACAAAAUUCUUGCCGUCAAUACCUGCAUAAAACCAUAAAAGUAAAACAACCAACAUAGUAGUAUGAUUUAUUUCUAACUAUUUUCACGAGUGUUGGUGUAUAUUCGUAUGCAAGUAAUCAACCACCAAAGUUGGGAGAGAAUGAUCGUGAAGAAUGCAAAUAUACUUUGGGAUGAUGGACCCACAUGGUUUUGAACUAUAACAUAUAAAAUGUGCAAUCAUUUUGAGCUAAAACAUGGUGUGCCAUAAAGUGGGGCCCACAUGUCAGCAUCCUGAGGAAGGACUAGGACAGCAGAGCCGGUCAGGGUAUCUAGCCCAAUUGUAUGAUGGUUGUACUCCUCAUCCCAAUGACGGUUGUGGCCGUUUCUACCGGUGGAAACCGUCAUAAAGAGGACACUUGUCAAGAGGAGAGUGAAGAUUCCAUUUAGAUGCUUAGCAUCUUCACAUUCCCAAGGCAUCUUUCCACACUAUAAAUAACCCUCUCCUCUCCCUUAUUCACACACACCAAAGCGUGAGCUGAAUUACAAGAUUAGGGAGAGAGUAAGGUAGAAGAAAUCGGACGAAUUCCGGAGUUGUCGGUAAUCUCCUCUUACUUUUGUAUCUUGUUAAUUACUCUGCUUUAAUAGAAAUAUCAUUCUGAGUAAUUAAGAUUUUCUUAAUGAGAAUUACUUCUUGGUUAGUUCCUAAUUAGCAUACAUGAUCAUUGUUCACUGUAGUCUAUUAAAUUAUAGUUAUUGAUUUAGUGUUUGAUCGGCACUAGAGUAGUUAUUAAUUGCGUAGACGCGGUGUCUGUGUAAUUAAUUUCCUGUUGUUGUUGUGUAUCCCAUAGUACGUUUGAGGUGGGUGUAGAGGUGCUGAUAGCCCUCAAGAGCACUUAAGUCCUCCCUGUCCAGGUACAUAGUAGAGCGAUAUCCGGGAACAGCGGGUUGCCAGUACCUGAAGUAUUGCGUUAGAUUAAAAUUAAACUUUCCCUAGACAUUGUUUGUCAUUAGGAUGUCCUCUGUCUUCUGCCCACAUUAGCUUUGUGUCCUUGGAUGAACCUGACGAGGAGUUAAACUCACACGUUCAAUGCGGAAAUCGAUACACUGGAAUACUCCCGGGUGAAGUGCUACAUCGGUAUCUUCCGUGUGCUUGCCAAUUCUAUCUGUGACGUUAAGAAAUACCAAUAGGGACAACAAGGUGUGAAGGGGGAAAUUAUUGAAUUGUCCCACAUUGGUUAUUAAAUGGCAAAUGACCUAAUAUAUAAAUGGGGGAGCCUCUCACCUUAUUGGUUAGCUUUUGGAGUGGGAAAACCCUUUAAGAUCUUACAAAGGCAUGCAAUAUUUAUGUGGCAUAAAAAACAAUUUUCUUUUCCUUUUUAUCAUUUUUAUUAUAACAUGUGGCUGAUUUGAUACAUGAUAUGAAAGUUUGGCCAUUAAUUGUUCUAUAUAGUUAAUGCUAGUACCUACUCCCUCCGUUGCAGAAUACAAACAUUUUUGGUUGGAUAUGUGUAUUAAGAAAUUAUGUAGAUUUAAAUUAGGAAUAUUAUGAUUAGUUGAACAGAGAAGGUAUGUGAGAAAAUUGAAUGGUAGAGGAUUGUGAUUGGUCGGAAAGAUAAUAUUGGUGGAGAAGUUGUUAUAUUUUAGGACAAAUCUUAAAUACUAGAAAUUGUUAUAUUUUGGGACGAAGGGAGUAAAAUAUACCGACCUACCACUACGAAUCUGAAUGGAAGGUUACUAGAGUUUAUUCAGAUUGAUUGUACUAGGUUGUAUCUAUUCUAUUACUAGGUUGCUAUAUUUUAGGAUAGAGAGAGUAUGAAAUGACUUGUUGAACUAAUAGUGGUGUUAAGAGCCUCUUUGGGGAGCUUCUAGCAGUUAUAAUUUCUCCCAUAAUAUAUAGAUUUCCAUACAGUGUAGAUUCUUACCUACAUUCUAAGAAGCUAGGAAACCUAGGUUUCCAGACACUUAGAAGCUGGCUACCAAGUGGUGCUUCUCAGGAUCUGAAGCUCCCGAAACAAUAGCUUUCUCGACCCAAUGGCUUCUAACAGUAUGUGUGGCGGUGGCAAUUUCCCAAAACCCCAUGACCUCUCGCGCAUGGAAAUCAGUCACAUUGACGAGCAAGCUCAUCUCUUUAAGUCUCAGUUCGUUUGGGCUCAUUAUCUUAAAGAACCAUUCCAACUUAACUGGGCUCCUUAAUCUUAAUGAAAUAAAAGCUUAGCUUGGCUUGACUCGCGAGCUGAUUUGUUAAGCUUUUGUUAGGCUUGUUAACAUAUUUAUAUAUCCUUUAUAAUUUUAAAUUUACCAUUUUAUCAUAUUAACAUAGUAGUAACACUAAAUAUAAAUAGCUUGGAUAAAAUUGAAAGACUAAAUAAUACAAAGUAUAUGUAGUUAUGAUGAUCUCUUGUACUAACAAGCUAAAUGAGCAAUCUGUGAGCUGCCUCAUUAAGCUCACAAGCUAAAAGCCUAUCUCCGCUUGACUCAUAAUGAUUACAAGUAAUCUAAAAAAAAAUAAUUACAAGUUCGAACAAAACUCACUACAAACCAAUCCAAACCACAAUCUUUGAGCUUUCUUUCCGUCCCUAGCAGUGACGCUUGUGUUGAGACGAAUCAACAUGACACUAUAGGUCACACCCCUUCCUGGCACCACCUAAUAGUGACACCAGAGGGAGUGCACCGUAGGAGAUCAGUGUGAACCUACUCCCACGGAACCGCUAUGCUGGUACCAGAAAGCUAGGCGGCAGCCGGCGGGCAUGGCGGCGCUGCGGAAAACGCGGAGGCGAGCGAAUAGCGAUGACGUCGCCCCCUGGUGUGUCACGCAAGUUACCGCAUCAAGCACCUGCGCGUAGAAUCUCAUUAGUGAAUCGGACUUUCUCGUUAGCGGAAAGAAUCAAAUUGCUCCCUACGGGUGCACAUGAUUUACGUGGGUGUGAAAUGGGAAAGGGCGUUGCAAAAGUCCGUGCAAUAUAAGGAUUGACGGAUGACAAAAACAAUAGUUAUGUUUUAAGUAGGUAAAGAUAAAUAUAGACAGAUGCUCCGGGGCCAUUACUGCCGGUAAACCCAAGCCAAAAUUGGAAAUUUUUCUACCAAAAGAUCUUAUUAGUGUCGGUUCUAAUAACGAACCUGCACUGCUGAUAAGUGCCUUAUCAGUGCCCUUUUUUUUUACAAACCAACACUGAUAAGACCCGUCAUAUUAAAACCAUUUUAUUUGUUGAAUUGGCACUGAUACUGCCAGUUCUUGCUCCUAGGAGCGCGCACGGGCUCAAGUGAACGAGUGACCUCUACCAGUACCAGUUUUUGUCUAACUCGCACUUAAGGAUCGUGUUCAAUCCCGAGAUCUUUUAAUUGUUUACACCUAGAGGCAUCCGCCACCUUUUGGUCGUCGCCGCCACCUCCAUUGUCCUUGUUAUAAAAUCAGACCCGGUAGCACAUCGAGAAAUAAACACAGAAGAAACGUCACAGGAGAUCCAAACACGAUAUCGCCGCUGAACCAAGAUAUUAGUAGAGGUCCUGAACCGGCUUUCCUCCGUCUGAAUCGGCAGUCGUAGCCACUGAAUCAGCUUUCUGUUCCUGAAAACCAUCAACGAAGGAGGGGCAGAUCGAUCCCCUUUCUCCCAUCCUCGCUCCUCGCGCUCACACGGCACUCCUCAGCACCCGCCACUGCUGCCGCCAACACAGGAGCCGCCGCGCAUCACUGCUCCUCUGUGCCCCUGAGGACGUCACCGCCGGUGGCCACUUCCGCCGCCGCCUCCUUGCCUCCUGAACGCUGCCGGUGAGAGUGCCGCCGCUGUGGGCUUCCCGCCGGUCGAGGACGCCGAUGCCCACGAGUCGCUCCAACGCAGAGGAAGUCGCCGCCCUGCUGUCGGAACCCGCCGCUCCACCACCUGGAGCCGGCGCCGCCAAGUCGUCCGCCGCCUGCACCGCUGUUUGAUCCGCUCGACGCCAAAACCAUAGUCGCCAGCCGUUAAUAGUUCGGCAAAUUUAGGAGGAAGUUUGAGGCUCUUGUGUCGCUCUCACGCGGGUGGCUCGGGGGCAGAACCGCCGCUGGAAACCGCGCGGCCGGCCCGGAAGGUAGCGGCGGGGAAAAUGUGCCGGCGGUGGAGUUUUCUUCUCGGCGUGGGAGGAGAAACAGCGCGCGUACGGCGGGAGGCGGCGGCUGGCGGGGCGGAUCCGCCUCCGGCAACAUUCGCCAUGCAUCUUCAUUUGUCUCCGCUUGAUGCUGACCGAAGGGGUCCCUGACCUACCAUCAACACAAAUGAUUGUUUUGUAUUCGUGCCAUGCAUGACCCGGUCCAGUACUGCCUGCACGCGGAGAGUGCAACGAACCUCACUACCCACCUAAUAGGACUAGUAAACGAGAAGUCAAGGUAUUUUAUUGUUGCUCAUGGCUUUGUGGACCGAAUUGGGAUAUUGGAUUGGUCAGGUACCUGAGUGAGUACUACGCUGUUAAUAUAGAUUGACAUGAAAUGGAAAACAGAGUCCUCGGCGUCUAAACCCACCUAACCCAUGAUAGACUGCUGGUAAUUUAAUUUCAAAUGUCAGGGGAAUAUGAUUGUCUGCAUGAUGCGCGAGUGAUAUAAACUCCAUGAUAAGCAUCCUCUCUGCUCAGACCUCAGAGAGCUCACUGCAAAAGCUACCAUUUCUGAUUCGAUCUGGUCGCCAAGUUCUCUCCCCUGUGCAGUCUUUGGCGAAGGUGAAGAAUCCAUUCAAUCGAUGGCGGAGACGGUGCUGAGCAUGGCGAGGUCGCUGGUGGGCAGUGCCAUCAGCAAGGCCACCUCUGCGGCGGCCCAUGAGGCGAGCCUCCUACUCGGCGUCCAGAAGGACAUCUGGUGCGUACUGCACGAAAACCUCACCCGUAGUUUCCAUCUUCGCUUCCGUUUUAUUGAUUGCCAGUUUCAACCAAAAUAUGUCAGGCAAAACUAUUGCUGAAAUGCGCAAAUAUAUCAGGGACUUAAUAUAUGUUUUUACUUUGCCUAUGGGUGCGUUCCUUUUUCUUGAAACGGUUGCACCCCAGCUUUUAGUGGAAGCAUAUCUCUAUCUCUACUAAUAUAAAAAUUAAAGAUAUUUUUACCGGUACUUUGAUACGUCAUCCAUGUAUGAGUCUGUUUUAAGUUCGUUCGAUUUUGGAAAUACAUAUCCAUAUUUGAAUCGGUUUUUAAGUUCGUUCCCUUUUGGAAAUAUAGAAGGAGUCGAAUAAGAAAUAUCUUUGAAAAAACUCGCAUGCUAACCUGAGAUGAUCGGACUCCUAAUUGCAACUCAUGAUUUUCUAAAAAUAUAUAUAUCCAAGCAAAUUACCACAACGAAUUUCACCUUAAUUAAACCGUAUAACAAUAAUAAGAAAUAACCUUCAUCUGUUGUAACGCAUGGGCAUUUUUUCUAGUAAAUUAUAAAGUUAUCUUAGUAGUGAAUGGGACACCAAUAAUCUUUCUAAAACAUCUCUUUAAGUGGAGGACGCAAAUCUUUGCCUUUAAUUUAGAAAAAUAUUUCUUCUUGUCAGUUAAGCAAAGAAAGUCCCUCGGUGGUCGAAAUUAACCGUUCCAUAAAUCAUGUGUGCUAAAUCCACUGAACUGAAGUAGAACUGUUUAAAAUACGAGAAAUUUUUUAUGCCUUGAGAGAUACCAAGACGUACCUGUUGUCGAAAGACAACUGUUUCAUGUCGAAAGACGUGGUUCACUCAGUGAAUUAAUGGAAUAGUAAAAGCAAUAUAUUAAUUGGUAAGAAAUUUUUUGGGAUCUCCCAUUAUAUCAUCUUAGGAGGCUAUUUAUAGCCUUAACACAAACUCAUGCCUCCUAGGGUUUAAUUUGUAUAGGGGAAUUUACAUGGGUACCCUUAUGAUAGGGACUUUAGUGAGGGCACACAAUAUCAUUUGUGUUUAUGGGCUCUUACGCGAACUCCUUGGGCCGGCCCAUUACUGGUGAAAGGCCUCCAUGGUGUCUCCCAAGCCCUCUGCCGAAGCCACUUCUAACAAGGGCGAAACCCUCCUGCUUCACUCUACAGCCUUUGCCCGAAGUGAUGGCUCGUUAGGGUGAUGGGCUUGGUGGCGAACCCCUCGGUCUUCAUCAUCUAACUUCGUCAGCUGCUUCGCCUUAUGGCUUCGCCUCAUGGAAUCAGCUAACCUCAAGGUUCUCGUGGUUUCAGCAGGCCCGGCCGAAGGCCCUCGUGAUAUGCCUCCAACAGUACCAUAAAUUUUCAUACCUCCUAGUACCGUAGAUACCAAAUUUUAUAUUAGAAAAUAUAUUCGGUACCUCCUCAAAGAUUGAAAAAUCACUCUUAAACUACACACAUGUCCAUAAACUUGGACCAAUCAAUCAUGUCAGUGCGUGAACAAGUAAGAUAUGUACCGAUAUCCUAACACUACUGGGAACCCAUCUUUAGUCCCAGUUUGCAACCCUCUUUAGUCCCGGUUGCAAACCGAGACGCCCAAAGCACAUCUUUAGUCCCGAUUGGUAUUUGAUUUCGAGUGGUUCCAUGCCCCACAUCGAGUUGCUCUCGACAUCCCCAAAUCCCCACAUCAAAUUGACAUCAUAUAUCGAAUGAACAUAUUCAACAACAAAAUCAUCCAUAAAUUCACAAAAACAUCUUAAAAAAUCUACAACAAAAUCAUUCAUCCACAAAUUCUUUUCUUUAUUCACUUCUCUCCUUGCUUCUCCUCGGGCAAGGCGGCUGGCAAGCCCGGUCGAGCUCCUCGUCGCCGCCUCGAGGGAGGGACAACAGCCACGUGAGUAGAUAAGGACGCGGCUCUCUCCCUCCACCGUGCGCCUCUUUUUAAUUUUUAGUCUCGGCUGCUAUAAACAAUGGGGACUAAAGUGAUGAUCUUUACCAAUCGGGACUAAAGAUCGUUGGCCGCCUAUAACAAUUGAACCGUGGCUAAAAAUAAUCUUUAGUCAUGGUUGGUGUUACCAACCGGGAAUAUAAGAUUAUAAAGUGUCGCUGGGCUUUUUAACCGGGGCUAAAGGUAUUUUAUAGUCCCGGUUUCUAUUUGAACCGGGACAAAUGUGAUUUUUGUCAUCCGGGCAAAGAUCAGUUCUCCAUUAGUGUAAUCUGGGCAAAUUUUAUUACAUGACACCUGAAAAUUGUGUAAUUUGCUCAUAGACAUCGAAAAAUGUGUCAUGGAUGAAUGAUAUUUAAAAGAUUGAUAAUUUGCAAGAGAAUACUUUCAACUCAAAUUGGAGGGAUAAAUUGUUAAGAAAGACAUGAAUGCCCCUAUGACCACAUGCUUCAAACAUGACGUCAGAGUAAAAAUUUUGAAAUUAUGCAACUCUAAAAUUACCAUCAUCCCAAGUACAUCACUACAUACAUUAUAUUCAUGUUCACUCCAACCUCCGUUCAAAAGCUUUUGACCCUAGGGGUAUUCUCGUAUUUUUGAAGAAUUUUUCUCUUCAAAUAAGCUGAAAGCAUCCUCCAGCAAAUUAUCAGUUUUUAAAGUGUCUUUUAGCCGUGACAUGUUUUUACGAUUACUACCAGCAAACUACACAAAUUUUGAUUGUCCUGUAGCAAAAAUUUGCCCCUAAUCUUUGUAUAAUGUAGCAUUAGAGAGGUCUAAAGUGCAUAUGACAUGGUUCGACUGUUGAUGUGGCCAAGAAUUUUGCCUUUAGACCCUCGUGCUAUAGUACGCAUUCAAGUAGACUCUCACCACUCCCAAAUAUUUUUGUACAUCACUUAAAAUACAAAAUUUCUAAAUGUUGAGAAAUGCAUAUUUGCUUAUUUCGGGUGGUAAGAAUCGGUUUUAGAGGCAAACAGUUGUGAAGGGACCUAAGUGUAAAAUUCUCGCCACCGUAGUCAGGCAUGUCAGCAUUUGAGUUACUAGCUGACUGCCCAUGCAUGCUUUGCAUAGGAAUUAAAAAAAAAACUAUCGUGCGCUCUAAAGCCCCCCAAAAACAUAAUAAAAAUAUCCCAUUGUAUUCAAUUUCACAUUAUUUUUUGUACAUGUAUGUGAUGCUAUGGAAUUGGUCCCAAAUGUCAGUGGUGGUGGGCAGUGACAGAUUUACCAUUCAUCACCAUUGCAGUCUUUUAAAUAACCAUCUACAGUUUAGACUUGAAAUGAUACAUUAAACCAAUAUUAAAUACCCAUAUGUGCUUAUAAGUUUAUGUACCUAAAUGACACCUUCGGUUUUAAAUUCAAGGACGGGUCAUGUAUUUUACUCAAAAACUUAUGAUGUCUUUAAAGUAUAUAUUGUAUGAAAAUUUAGUCAUUUUAUUAUUUUUCUAAUAUAAGAUUCGGAUUUCUACUAGAGAUAUCCUAAAUUACUUUGAAAUGAAUGAUUGCAGGUAUAUCAAAGAUGAGCUGAAAACAAUGCAAGCGUUCCUACGAGCUGCUGAAGUUAUGAAGAAGAAAGAUGAGCUCUUAAAGGUUUGGGCAGAACAGAUACGUGACUUGUCCUAUGACAUUGAAGAUUGCCUUGACGAAUUCAAGGUCCAUAUUGAGAGCCAAAAUCUGUUUUAUCAGAUGGUGAAGCUCAGAAAGCGCCAUCUGAUAGCUACCCAAAUCCGUAACCUCAAAUCAAGAGUUGAAGAAGUGAGUAGCAGAAACUCACGCUACAAUUUAGUCAAACCUAUUUCAUCCAGCAAUGAGGAUGACAUGGAUUGUUACGCAGAAGACAUUCGUAAUCAGUCAACUAGCAAUGUAGAUGAAACUGAGCUUGUGGGGUUCUCUGACUCUAAGAUAAGGUUGCUCGAAUUAAUCAGUGCCAAUGUAAUAAUGGUCCAACCAAAGUAAUAUGUGUGGUUGGGAUGGGUGGUUUAGGCAAGACAGCUCUUUCCAGGAAGAUCUUUGAAAGCAAAGAGGACAUCGGAAAGAACUUUCCAUGUAAUGCAUGGAUCACUGUGUCACAAUCAUUUAACAGGAUUGAGCUACUCAAAGAUAUGAUACGGCAAUUUCUAGGUUCCAAUUCACUGGAUCAAGUCUUGCAAGAAUUGCAGGGGAAAAUGGUGGUGCAAAUACCUCAUCUUUCUGACUACUUGAGAAAAAAGCUCAAGGAAAAGAGGUAUUUUGUUGUUCUUGAUGAUCUAUGGUCUUUAGAUGCAUGGAACUGGAUUAAUGAUAUUGCAUUUCCUAAGAAUAACAAUAAGGGCAGUCGGAUUGUAGUAACCACACGAGAUGUUGGUCUAGCCGAGAAGUGUACCACAACUUCCCUAGUCUACCAUCUUGAACACUUGCAGAUGAAUGAUGCCAUAACUUUGCUACUGAGAAAAACAAAUAGAACACAUGAGGACAUGGGAACAAACAAAAAUAUGCAAAAAAUAGUUGAACAAAUUGUAAAUAAGUGUGGCCGUCUACCAUUAGCGAUACUUACAAUAGGAGCUGUGUUGGCAACUAAACAAGUUUUAGAAUGGGAGAAAUUUUAUAAACAGCUUCCUUCAGAACUUGAAAGCAACCCAAGCCUUCAAGCUUUGAGGAGAAUGGUGACCCUUGGCUACAACCACCUGCCAUCUCAUCUGAAAUCAUGCUUUUUGUACCUAAGUAUCUUCCCUGAGGAUUUUGAGAUCAAAAGGAGUCGCUUGGUAGACAGAUGGAUUGCAGAGGGGUUUGUUAGAGCCAAGGUUGGGAUGACGACCAAGGAUGUUGGGGACAGUUACUUUAAUGAGCUAAUCAACCGAAGUAUGAUUCAAAGAUCAAGAGUGGGCAUAGAAGGAAAAAUUAAGAGUUGCCGAGUCCAUGAUAUCAUGCGUGAUAUCACAGUUUCAAUCUCUAGAGAGGAGAACUUUGUAUUCUUACCAGUGCAUGAUGGCUCCAAUCUAGCACAGGAAAACACUCGCCACAUAGCAUUGCAUGGGAGCAUGUCCUGCAAAACAGGAUUGGAUUGGAGCAUUAUUCGAUCCUUAGCUAUUUUUGGUGACAGACCCAAUAAUCUAGCACACACUAUUUGUUCAAAUAAAUUCAGGAUGUUACGGGUGUUGGAUCUUGAAGAUGUGAAGUUUUUAAUCACACAAAAAGAUUUCAACAAUAUAGCAUUGUUGCGUCACUUGAAGUACUUGAGCUUUGGAAGAAUAUUCUCAUCAUGCAUAUAUACUCUUCCCAGAUCUAUUGGUAAAUUACAUGGCUUACAGACCUUGAAUAUGUCAAGUACAUACAUUGCAACACUACCAACUGAGAUCAGUAAACUCCAAUGUCUGCGCACUCUUCGUUGUACAAGGGUAUCUAAUAAUAACAAUUUUAGUAUAAAUCACCCGGUGAAGUGCUUAACUAACACAAUGUGUCUGCCUAAUAUAUUCACACCUUCAGUUAGUAGCGACAAUCGUGCCAAACAAAUUGCUGAAUUGCACAUGGCCACCAAAAGUUGUUGGUCUGAAUCAUACAGUGUGAAGGUACCCAAAGGUAUAGGCAAGUUGGGAGAAUUACAGAUACUAGAGCAUGUGGAUAUCAGGAGGACUAGUACUAGUGCAAUCCAAGAAUUGGCGCAACUAAGCAAGCUGACUAAAUUAAGUGUGACAACAAAGGGAUCCACAGAGGAAAAAUGUAAGAUACUCUAUAGAGCCAUCCAAAGGCUCUGUUCCCUGCAAUCUCUCCGUGUGGAUGCUGAGGGGUCCUCAGGAAAUGGAACACUUAAAUGUCUAGAUUCUAUUUCCUAUCCUCCUCUGUUACUAAAGACACUCAAGUUGUAUGGAGAUCUUGAAGAGAUGCCCAACUGGAUUGAGCAGCUCUCGCACCUCAUGAAGUUCUACUUAUUAGGGAGUAAACUAAAGGAAGGAAAAACCAUGCUGAUACUUGGGGCAUUGCCCAACCUCAUGCUGCUUUGUCUUUCACUUGAUGCUUACCUCGGGGAGAAUCUAGUAUUCAGAACAGGAGCAUUCCAAAAGCUCAGGACACUUUGGUUUGACAAGCUGGAUCAGCUAAGAGAGAUUAGGUUUGAGAACGACAGCUCGCCCCUAUUGGAAAAGAUAGGAAUCCGAUACUGCAGGUUGGAAAUAGGGAUUAUUGGUAUCUCUAACCUUAUGAGGCUAAAGGAAAUUACACUUGGAUACAGAGUUAAAGUUGGUUAUCUUGGUCAGUUGGAAAGAGAAGUUGGCACACACCCAAAUCGCCCCGUGCUACGUAUGGAGGAGGACCGAAGCUGUCACGACCUGAGAAGGGAUGGCAAAGGAUCAGCUGUAGAAAUGGAAGCAACGGAGCCCCUCCCUGAGCCCGAGAGCUAGAACUCACAGGUGAGCACGUUGACAAGCCAAUUCCCUGCAUUGCAGCUCUACUAGAUUUCUCUUCUGUUCAGUAUUAGCCAUCAGCUGUGAUGAUUCCAACCAACCUUUCAUCUCUCCUGUUUUAUUAACAUAACAAUGAUCCAAUAAUGGAAUGCUUUCUAAAAGGAAAUCUAUCACCGGCCAAUGAUGUGGAUAAUCCUAGAAAGACUUCGAGAGAAGAGAUGAAAAUGUUACAAAUGUUAAUCACCACUGAUACUUCGUUGAUGUCAACAAAAGAGGUAAAUUUGAGUGAGCUGCCUUACGAACUAUCUGAGAGGCAUCCUGCUUUUCCUUUGGUUUACCAACUCCUGAAACUAGUAUUGGUUUUGCCCGUUGCAACCGCAUCAGUGGAGCGAUGCUUUUCAGCAAUGAAAAUCAUGAAGACAAUAUACUACAGAACAGAUAAGUGAUAAACUUAUGAAUGAUUGUAUUGUAUGCUUCAUGAGCCAUGUUUUCUAGCUACAAUUCGAAAUGAUGACAUGAAAGCUCUCCUUGAUCAAAAGGAGGGAACUUGCAAAGAGAAGAUGUAAUAGGUAAUUAACUAUUCCAACAGAGGUGUUGUAUAUUUAUAUCAUACAGUGCUCUUAAUUUAUUUAGCCUAUUAUAAUGCAUGAUAUUAGUCUAUUAAAGCAAACAGUUUAUACUUAUUCUACCGGUUUUGUUAGCAUAUAUUUAAUAUUCGUAGUGACUAGUGACCUGACCCCAGCGACCAUUAAUUUUUUCCUUCUUCCGCCCUGGAGAAGAGCUAGGCACAGCUGUAGCUGGCUGAUGGUCUCCUCCUCCUCUCCAGCGCCAUCCUCUCCUUGCACACUGGCUCUCCGUCUCCGGGCGUCCCUCCUGCGUGCACCUCACCGCUCCGAGGACAUGAUGAUCAACGAGGCUUCCUGCUUCCAGUUGCUAAAUAUAAUAUGUGCCUAACACUCUCAGUUGUUUCCAUCCCAGGGUAUGAAAUUGAUCUAUCAGAUUCGCUCCUUGCCACAAGGUGCAAACAUUUGAUGCUUAGUUUGAUCAGGGUGUUCUGUUUCAGGGUUGUGGUUUGCACAAUUACUCCCACUUUGUGCUUAGAUAUGCUUAGGCUGAGUUUGAGGAGAAGGGGACAUAGAAGAUUGGGAAGUUACGCAAAAUGAGGUGAGCUAUUACACUAGUACAGAACCUUUCAUCUGUGAACAUGCUUGGAAUUAGCGGCCGUCACAAGAAAUUCAUCUCAAUCGGGUCGACAAAGCGCCGGAUUGAGAUAACUCAGGCCCGUCACGGAUCACACAUAUCAGUGACGGGCCGUAGUUUAGACCCGAUUGAGAUAACAUUCCAUAUCUCGAUCCCGUCACGGAUGACACAUAUCAGUGACGGGCCGUAGUUUAGGCCCAAUUGAGAUAACAUUCCAUAGAUGACACAUAUCAGUGACGGGCCUAAACUACAGCCCGUCACUGAUAUGUGUCAUCUGUGACGGGCCUGAGUUAUAUUCCCAUCUAAUUAACAUGUCUAUGCGACCAUAUCUCAACAACUAGGCCCGUCACAGAUGACUCAUCUGUGACGGGCUCUAUACUAAUGCCCGAUUGAGAUGACUUGGUAUUCUUUUUUUCCAUUUUUCAUAUGAAAUAUUUAUAUCUGUGAGUUGACAUGUAGCAAAAUAAUUAACUGAAGUAUAAUAAUUCAUUUUCUUAGUCAAAAUAAUUUUUCGGGUAGUAAAUGAUUUCAAAUGGAAAAAUUGUCAACAACAAAGUUGUAUAACUUAUCAAUAUUUACAAUUUUUAUUUUGGUCAUUUUUCUAUAUAACUUUUUUUAACAGUUUGAAUUUGAAAUUGAAAAUAUAACAACUUCAAAAAAUAUUUUCAAAUAAUAAAUAAUUUCAAAUGGAAAAGUCAUCAACAACAAAGUUGUAUAACUCAUCAAGACCUAUAACUUUUAUUUUGGUCAUUUUUCUAUAUCACUUUUUUUGAACAGUUUGAAUUUGAAUAUAAAAAUAUGACAACUUCAAAACAAUAUUUUCAAAUACUAAAUGAUUUCAACUAAAAACGUUAUCAACAACAAAGUUGUAUAACUCAUCAAAAUCUAUAACUUUUAUUUUGAUCAUUUUUCUAUAUAACUUUUUUUUGAACAGUUUAAAUUUAAAUUUGAAAACAUGACAACUUCAAACAACAUUUUUAAAUACUAAAUGAUUUCAACUAAAAAAGUCAUCAAUAACAAAGUUGUAUAACUCAUCAAUAUCUAUAACUUUUGCUUUUGUCAUUUCUUCAUCCGACGAAGUAUUAGUAACAUUGUUCACAAAAUUGACAUAUCUGUGUUAUAGUUUAUAAAACCAGACGAGAUAUGUGAAUUUUGUGAACAAUGUUACUAUCACUUUGUCAGAUAAAGAAAUGACCAAAAUAAAAGUUAUAGAUCUUGAUGAGUUAUACAACUUUGUUGUUGAUGACUUUUUCAAUUGAAAUCAUUUAGUAUUUGAAAUUGUUGUUUGAAGUUGUCAUAUUUUCAAAUUCAAAUUCAAACUGUUCAAUAAAUGUUAUAUAGAGAAAUGACCAAAAUAAAAGUUGUAAAUCUUGAUAAGUUAUACAACUUUGUUGUUGAUGACUUUUCCAUUUGAAAUUAUUUAGUAUUUGAAAAUAUUGUUUGAAGUUAUUAUAUUUUCAAAUUCAAAUUCAAACUGUUCAAAAAAUGUUAUAUAUAAAAAUGAUCAAAAUAAAAGUUAUAGAUUUUGAUUAGUUUUAUUAGUUAUAUAACUUUGUUGUUGACAAUUUUUCCAUUUGAAAUCAUUUACUACCCAAAAAAUUAUUUGAAUUUCUUAUAUUUUAAAACUCAAAAUUUAUAUAGUUCAAUCAAACCCGGAUGGAGAAAUGACAAAAAUAAAAUUGGUAGAUCUCAAUGAGUUCUACAACUUUGUUUUUGAUAGUUUUUUCACAUGAGUUCAUUUAGUAUCAUAAAAUUCAAUUCAAAAUUUAUUUUCGACUAGAAGUCUGACUUGCAUCCUCAUCAUGUUAAUACUUACUAAAUAUAUAUUUGAUCCAAUUAACUCGGUUUUGCUGGUGAAAUAUGUGAAUGGAUGUGAAAUAUGUAAUCAAAAUGGAUGUUAUAUGAAUGUGGUUGUGUUAAAUAUAUUAAUGGUUGUGUAUGUGUACAACUUCUUCUCUGGAAACCGAUCCCCAAAGAACUCUGAGGUUAAGCAUGCUUAGGGUGGAGAAAUUUCGGGAUGGGUGACCGACCGGUUGCAUAAAAGACCGGCCCGCGGGCGUGCCUAGCAGAGGCCUGAGGGUAGCCAAAAAAUAAAAUUUAUUUUUUUUAUUAUAAUCAUCCGUGACGGGCUAUAAUUUAGGCCCGAUUGAGAUGAGAGUCAUCCGUUACGGGCUAUAGUUUACGCCCGAUUGAUAUGAGAGUCAUCCAUGACGGGCUAUGUUUAGGCCUAUUGAGAUGAGAGUCAUCCGUGACGGGCUAUAAUGUUGGCCUGAUUGAGAUGUGUGACAUCUGUGACGGCCGAAUAUCCGAUUGAGAUAUUUUCUCACAUCAGGCUUAGUGACGGGGGUGCUACCCGAUAGAGAUGAGGCUUUAGGCUCGUUACUGACCGAACCUGUUCUAGUGUUAGUGCAUGAUUAAUUGAGUAUUAAUUAUUUUAAAUUUCAUCAAUGCAUUAAUAUUAUUUUUAAAGCAACUUUCAUAUAGAAAAUUUUUGCAAAAAACUCACCGUUUAGUAGUUUGGGAAGCAUGCGUGCAAAAAACGAAAGCAAUUUUCAAUCCUUGAAACCACUUUUUCUAUUGUAAAUUUGAUACCUCAUAAGGUACCAAAUUUUAUAUUAAAUUUUUGGUACCUCAUAAUACCUCCUCAAUUACUAUAGAAUUGCUCAAGUUUUUAUUUCUGUUGACAAAUGCACCAGAUGUUUGUUCAGUCACUACUACAUGAAUGGUUUUUCCGUGCGGGUGGCAUGAUUUUUGCGUGCGGGGAUUCCACCCGUCUGGAAGGUCGCAUUUGCAAAAAUCCCCAUUUUUUUGUGCGGGUGACGCACCCGCACGCGAAAAUCGAUUUUCGCAUGCGGUCGCUUAGGCCGUCCGCAUGGGAAAAUAAAAAACCAAAACAAAAAAAAAAUCAACAUCCACCCACAAACCCUAACGUAGCCACCGUCGCCGCCGCCACCACCACCGUCGUCGCUGCCUUGCCUGAGGCCCGUCGUCGAUGUCGCUGCCACCACCGUCGUCGUCGCCGGUGACCACCGCCGUCGUCCCCGCGGUCGCCGGCGAAGGAUCCGGCCUCCCCGUGGCGGCAGGCGACGGAUCCGGCCUCCCCGCGGCGGCAGGCGACGGAUCCGGCCUCCCCGCGGCGGCAGGCGACGGAUUCGGCCUCCCCGCGGCGGCCGGCGACGGAUCCGGCCUUCCCACGGUGGCCGGCGACGGAUCCGGCCUCCCACGCGGCGGCCGGAGACGGAUCUGCUCCGCCGCCGCCGCGUCCAUCGAUGCCGUCCGCUGAUGCCGCGCGCCGAUGCAGCCAGGGUGCCCGCCGAUGCCGCCACCGCCGCGCCCGCCGAUGCCGCCACCACCAUCGAUGCCGCCGUCUCCGCCUCCCUUAUCGAGGGCGCCGGCGUCGCUGAGGAGGAGGGAGAGGGAGAUGGGAGGAUGGGGAGGAGGAGAGGGAGAGGGAGAGGGAGGAUGGAUGGGGAGGUGGUGGGAAGUUAAUGGCAGCGCGCGCCCGUGACGAGAGAGGAUAAGGGUGAGCGCGUGGGGUGGGCUAUUUUCGUGUUCAUGCGGGCCUGUUAAGUGACCUGCACACAAAAAUAGAUUUUCCUAUGCGGGCGAUGCUCUGAUGCCCGUUUUUCAUUUUUCUGUGCGGUUGCACUAAUGGGCCGCCUGGAAACAAAUUAGUGUGGUGUAGUGUAGUAGUGAGUAUUCUUGUUCGAAGGAAGAAAAAAAAAUCUUGAUGGUAGGUCAUUUCAUUUUAACCCUUACCCUUAUAGAUUGCUUUGUCAAAACUACAAUUUGGAGCCCCAUGCAAAAAUGCAUGAAUAUGCUGAUAUUGUUUCUCUGCCAUGCAGAAUGCAUAUGGCUUGCUGAAGCUCAAUGGUUGAAGCUACAAUCUUGGCUAUUUCUGGCAGAAAUCCAAAUUGGUGGCUUGGAGCUGUGUUGUAUGCCAUCAGAGAUCGCAACUUUUGUGCCCAUGAAGACGCUAAUUCAUAUAUACUUGAAUCACGUGUCGCUAAUAAGCAUUAUGAUCAAUCUCGCUGCAGCUAGAGUUCACCAUCAUUCUCAACUUUGCGAAUGCUCUGGUGGUCACAUGGAUCGAAAUGUCGUAUGCUGCAAAGAAGAGGAGAACUAAAUGCAUUCCAAUGUUCCUGGCAAUAUUGUAAUUAGUAAACGUGGAGGAGCGAUACUAAUUAUCUCGGGGAUGUGGUAAACUGUUUGCUGUCAUUUCAAGAGCUAGGCAGAUCAUUUUAGAUCAGCUACUUGUUUGUAAUUCACGAGUGCAGAAUGAGUAAUUCGUACUUCUGUGCAUUGUAUUUAUUUCCCUACAUCUUUUUGCUGUGUUGGAAAUAAGAGUGUUUUUUGCACGUACGGUACACUGGUGCUCCAAUAAUCUGUGUUUUGUCUAAUUCUUAGGGAGAUAAACAUGGAAUACUAUAGCAGCGUACUUAUGCAACACCGCUACGUUAGUGCACUGGUGCAGCCUUUUCUGUUGUUAUGUAAUUAUCUUCUGAGAUGUUCUAUAUAUAUAUUUCAAGUUUCUCUCUAUUGCAAUUUUGUGAUCGCAGUUUCUUCUUUUCAGCCGGAUAUGAAGAUUGCUGUGAUGCUGCUGCUAUAGCUUGUACUCACUGAUUCCUCACUCUUUCUACUUCAUCUUUCUUGUUCAGUUUUUAUUUUAUUUUUUUUAGUGUGUGACCACACAUUUGAAUUGAAUAUGGUCUGUGUAUUGUAAGCGUACAGUUAAUUGGGAGUGUGCAUCUAUUCUUAAGUGUGCUCGGCACUUUUGAACUUAGAUGGGAAUUAUUGGAAUGUGCAACUAUAUUCGUUUACAACACUUACAUAUACUAUUCGUACUCAGUCGUGUGCUGCUAUUUAAACUUGAAGAAGUUCUUUUUUUUGGAUAACAGGUAUACAACAUAAUUGAAGUAUGGUGCAACACAAUAAAACCAUUAACGUAAGUCCAUAAGCAAACAAUUUAAAAGUUAUGGGUGAUAUGUAUUUUGAAAGAGAUGAAAUGUAUUAGCCUAUUUAAGUCAUCUUCAAAUUGCAACGAUCCAUGUUACAAUAGAUUUGCAGGCUUGCUGCCUUCCGGGAACCGGACAAAACUAACAUGUGGGGGUGAGCUGGAGCUUGACUUUGAUGUUGUUGUCAAAGACCGGAAUGGUUUGGUCAUCCCAUCUUUACUCGUGUUAAUUAGUUUAGUAAGUAUUAUGUUGUAGCGUGGGCAUCUUAUUAUCGAUCUCAAUGAGUAUUACUUAAUUUUAUAUUUAUUAGUUACCUCACAGGGGCUGUACUCAUCUUAAGUCUUACAUCUUCCGUUUCACAAUGUAAGUCAUUUUAGCAUUUCCCAUAUUCAUAUUGAUGUUAAUGAAUCUAGACAUGAAUCUAGAUAGAUAUAUAUGUCUAGAUUCAUUAAUAUCAAUAUAAAUGUAGAAAAUACUAGAAUGACUUAUAUUGUGAAACGGAAAAAAUACCAUCCAUUUCAACCCCCAAUUUCAGGCUUAGUUUGAUUUAAAUUAUCGAGCGGAUUGUUGUGACAGAUUUUCUGCAAUAGGGAAAAUUUAAAUAUUUUGAGAAAUCAGCUUAAUAAAUAGCUUAAAAUAAUCUUAGAAAUGCAGUAGAAGAAUUACUUUUUUAAUAACGUAUAUUUCCAUGUGUGGAGAAAAUAAUCCACUAAAUAAUUAAUCUGAAAAAACUGAGCCCAACGACCUGUUCAUAUGCCUUUGUCCGGGGUAAAUAUAUGAUGGGAACAAAGAGUAUAGAAGUUCCUUAAAAAAUUUGGAAACCAAUUAAACUCACAUAUAGAUAAGGUGUUAUAUUGGACGAACCUGCAAAGCCUAAAGAUAAACUCAAAUUUGUCUGUGGAAAAACUACAAAUUGGACGCCCAAUUUUUUUCUAAAAGAUCGAGCGUUGUUUCACCACCUUAUGUAAAAAAAUGUUUCAGUGCCUAACAAAAUGAUGUUUCGGCUACAGAAAUGAUGAAACACAAUUAAAUCACUCUUGGAACAUUUUUCUACAACAUAUAAAACAUCGGUUUCAAAGGUGUUGAACAACAGCAAAUCUGAAUUCAUCGAAGAACUCACUACAACAUUUUGAUUGAAUAAAUUAAACAUUUGGAUACAAAGCUAAAACAUGACAAAUCCAAAAAAUAUAAUGAAACACCACCGAGAACUGACAGCAACAUCUUGAUUAAUCUAAUGAAACAUUUAGAUACAUAUGCUGAAACAUCGAAAAUCCAAAAAAAAAAAAUCAGGCUAGAUCUACCUCUUCCUCCACUUUGGUGCUAUCCUCCGGUCUUCGUUGGGGCCGUCGAUGUUGCGUGAGAAGAGGAUGUGGCCGUCAAGGAUGUCGCGGCGGCGCCAGGCAUUCAGGACGACGAGAAAAAAUGGUCGGUGAAGUCGAUGACGUCGUAGGCGAUGGCAUAGCAUGGGUAGUGCGCCUCCACGGGGAUGAGGCUGCUGUCGACGUCGAGGAAACCGAAAAGCUGCGGCGGAUGUUGACGGCGUGGAUCCGGUGGAGGAGGUGGCACAAGCGAGGUUGGCGGAAGAGAGAGUCGGCGUGGGCGAAGGAGCACGGGGGAGAGGAGGUGGCGCAGACGAGAGAGGCAGGGGAGAGGAGAUGAUGCGGAAUGAGGCGAUGCGAAAGAAGCCCGAUACUUUUGUUCGACGUCGGUCGCCCGAGGCAGAACAUUAUCGAUAUGAGUUAACUAAAAUUGCAACAAGUCUACGAGAGCUUGUUUGAGGAGCUUAUAGCAGCUUUUUCUCUCCGAAUUUCCAGUUCCAUAAAUCAUGUAAAUUCUCACCAAUAAUCUAUAGUUAUAGUAGAAUUUACAACAUCAAAAUAAUCAAGUAUAUAUAAUCUAUAAGUAAAAUUUAUAGCUAAGAAAUCUAGCUUUCCGAUAUUCUCGAGAACUGACUAGCAACCUUUUUUAUAAUCUUAAAAAUCCUCUAGACAUGACCUAAAAUUGUAUGGAAUGUAAAAAAAUACGGGAUUUUCACAUGUUCAAUUCCCCUAAAAAUGUUGGGCGCAUGACCAAAUUGCAAAAUGUACCAGGCCCGAGAUCGAUCGAUCUGAACGGACGCACGAAGGAAGAAAAAGUGUAGGAGUUGCGGCACAUCACCGCCGCCGCUCCUACACCGUCCGCCAUAGCGAUUCCCUUCCAUCUCGCAGCCAUCCAAAGUGAGUCCUUCUUCGCCGUCUCCGAUCUGGAACUUCACCGCCGCCGCCGCCGCCGCAUCUCCUCCUUCCUCUCUUGGCAACUGUCGGCGGCAGCCAACGGCUCUCUUCCCCCCUUGUUCCUCCCGCUAUCGCGAGUCAACGGGAUGCUCGAUUCGUUACAUUUUUUUUAAGUACUAGUAUUGCUAAUUUGUUGGAGCAAGCUAACUGCAUUGAUCGCUCACGUGGUACUGCUUCGAUCUUCACAAUCACCCGAUAAAAAUAGUUGCGACAGAGAAAAAAAAAAAGAAAGUGUGGGACGGAAGGGAAAGGGGGGAAUUCGCUAUAAAAGCACUCGGAAUUGGCCUGCUCGAUGCGCCGAGGCUGACUGAUCUCCUGCAGUUCCAAGACUGAACAGCGAGAUCUCUGCAGGUAUGUGCCCGUUAGCUGACUCCACGAGUUCUUUUUUUCCUGGUUCAAUGUUUCCACUGCUCUCUCUCUCUCUCUUUUAAAAUUCGGCAAGAGCUGAACACUUCGGCUGUGAAUCUAUGAUGUCUUCAGCAGAUCUGGGUGCAGUGAUUUGAUUCGCAGGUGUAAGCUUGAUUAGCCAUUACUUGAGGAGUUAGGUUUCAUGUUUGGAUAAUAAUCAGGCCUACUUUUGGUACUGUCGUACUAAGGUGAUUAUUGCCGCGUUCCCCCCCCCCCCCCCCCUUUUUUUUUUCAUUUACAUUUGAACUUUGGCAUGUGUAUUGGAUCAUGCUUAUGGUUCAAAACAAUUACGGUACUAAAGUUUACUUGCAUUAGUAUUAACUUUUACAGUAUAUAUGUAGUUAUGUACAAACUACAAACAAUCGCAUGCUUGUUAACUGUAAUUAGGCUUUGCCAGCAUCUACGAAUUUUCUAGCUUUGUAAUUAUUUUGAGACAAAUUUUGAAUGAUAAAAGUUGCUAUAUUUUGGGACGGAAGGGUAGAUAUCCACGAGGUGACUUAACUCUUUCCGCUGGCUUUUGGACGUGCUACAUUCUGAUAAAAAUAACCGCAUCUAGUCACUCUGUACAUAUUCCAACCUUGCAAGGAAAUAGAUACUACCUCCGUUUCAGGUUAUAAGACUUUCUAGCAUUGUCCACAUUCAUAUAGAUAUUAAUGAAUUUAGGCAUACAUAUAUGUCUAGAUUCAUUAAUAUAUAUAUGAAUGUGGGCAAUGCUAGAAAGUCUUUUAAUAUUAAACGGAGGAAGUACAAUUUAACGGAAUAGGCUUCGAUUCUGAGAUCCAUUGUUCUAACAGGACUGAUCUGGUGGUAAUGGCGGAGACGGUGUUGAGCAUGGCAAGGUCGCUGGUGGGGAAUGCCAUCACGAAGGCCGGAGAGGCAGCUGCUGCAGAGAUAAGCUUACUGAUUGGUGUGAACAAGGAGAUCUGGUAGGUUUUCUUUAAUUACUUACGCAAACAAAAUAUUGGUUUAGGAAAACGUUAACCCUAAACUUUCCAAACUGGUUAUUUUCAAACACCCACCCCCACCCCCCAAAAAAAGAAACAAAACUCCUGGUACCAAGUGGUAAAACCAUUUUAAGUGAUUAUUCGAAUUGAUUUUCAUACUUUAGGUGAUAGAAUAAAUUUAAGCCAUGUAAUGUCCUAAAAUUGUCCUCAAAGACGAGCUGAAAACGAUGCAAGCAUUCCUGAUGACAGCUGAAGAGAUGGAGAAAAAACCCAGGCUGUUGAAAGCGUGGGUGGAGCAAGUAAGGGAUUUAUCUUUUGACAUUGAAGAUUGCCUCGCUGAGUUUAUGGUUCACGUGGGGAGCAAAAGCUUGUCACAACAGUUGAUGAAGCUCAAACAUCGCCAUCGCAUUGCCAUCCAGAUUCGUGACCUCAAAUCAAGAGUUGAAGAAGUGAGCGAUAGGAAUUCACGGUACUCAUUAAUCAGCCCUAACACCGAUGAGCAUGACACCUUGAGGGAUGAAUUUCGCUACUGGUCAGCUAAGAACAUUGAUGAGGCUGAACUUGUGGGUUUUGAUGAUGCAAAGGAAAGUAUACUUAAUUUGAUCGAUGUCCAUGCUAACCAUGGUCUUGCUAAAGUGAUCUUUGUAGUUGGCAUGGGCGGUCUAGGGAAGACAAGUCUUGUUAAAAAGGUUUACCAUAGUAUUAAUAUUGUUAAUAAUUUCUCAUGCCGUGCUUGGGUCACUGUGUCACAGUCAUUUGUCAGGACAGAGCUCCUGAGAGGACUAAUCAAGCAACUUUUGGGUGGUGAUUCGGAAAAUGAACACUUCAAAGGUCUUCAGAGCAUGCAAAGGAAUGAGAAAGUGGAAGACCUCGUGGAAGACUUGAAGCAAGGUCUAAAAGAGAAAAGGUACUUUGUUGUUCUAGAUGACAUGUGGAGCAUAGAUGCAUUGAAUUGGCUUAAUGAAUCUGUUUUUCCUGACUCUAAUAAUGGAGGAAGUCGCAUAAUAGUAACCACGAGAGAUGCCAGCAUAAUUCAAAACUGUGCUUAUCCUUCUUAUCUGUACCGCCUUGAACCCUUAAAAACAGAUGAUGCUAAACAAUUGCUGCUGAGAAAAUCAAAUAAAAGUUAUGAGGACAUAAAAGAGGCAAGGCUGAGAAGGUGUUUGAUAGGAUACUAGAAAGAUGUGGAGGCUUACCGCUAGCUCUUGUUGCGAUAGGAGCUGUCCUUCGCACGAAAUGCAUAGAAGAUUGGGAAAAACUGUCUCUGCAGCUAUCUUCAGGGCUCAAAACAAAGUCAAGUCUUGAAGAAAUGACUAGAGUAAUUACACUUAGUUAUACACACUUGCCAUCUCAUCUCAAGCCAUGUUUUCUGUACCUUAGCAUUUUCCCCGAGGAUUUUCCAAUAAAAAGGAGGUGUAUGGUAAAUAGAUGGAUAGCCGAGGGUUUUGUGGAUGCAAAGUUUGGAAUGGCUAUGGAGGAUGUUGGAAAUAGUUAUUUCGAUGAACUCAUCAAUAGAAGCAUGAUUCAACCAUGUAGGUUUUAUAGUCAUGGAGUAGUACAGUCCUGUGUACUCCAUGAUAUCAUGCGUGAUAUCGCAAUUUCUAUUUCCGCAGAGGAGAAUUUCGUAUUCAUGACGAAAGGGUUUGUCUCUGGUAUUCCACCUGAAAACAUCCAUCACCUUUCUAUUGAUGGGAGACAGGAUUCAUACCUAAGCUUUGAUCUAAGCCAUGUCCGGUCAUUAAGUUUCUUUUACAAUCCUAAAGAGCAACUAGCUUCACUGUGCUCACCACAGCUAAGGAUGCUCCGAGUGUUGGAUCUAGAGUUUAGUCUAUGUCGUGUAACACAGAACGACAUCAGUAACAUAGGAUCAUUUUGCCACUUAAGGUAUCUAUCUGUGAAGAAAGGUUCAUAUAUUUACCAUAUUCCAAGAUCCAUCAGGAAAUUGCAAGGAUUGCAAACUUUAAACCUGAAAAGAUCAUUAAUUACUAAAGUGCCCGCAGAAGUCACUGAACUUCGUAGUUUCCGCAGUCUCCGGUGUAGCACCCUUGGAGUUUACAGUCACUUCGAAUUUACUACCCGUGAGCCCAAAAAAUCCUUAGUAACUACAAUGAAAUUGCCCUUGAUAUUGCCACAUUUGAUUAGCGGAGACAAAUCCUCGGAGGUGGUGGCGGAGUUCCGCAAGGGUGAGCGUACCAAAAGGAAUAGGGAGCCUGAAGGAGUUACAGAUUCUUGAGCUUGUGGAUAUCGCACGAAGCAACAAGAAAGCAGUCCACGAGUUGGGGGAACUUACUCAGCUGAAAAAAUUAGGCGUGGCAGGGGUCACCGAGAGGAAUGUCAGUUAUCUCUGUGAAGCCCUUCAGAAGCUUUCUUCUCUCUGUUCCCUUCGUGUGGAGGCCAAACCCUUCCGAGGCCUCCACAUGCUUGAGCAGCUUGCUUCCCCACCUCCCUUCCUCCACACCCUCAAAUUGAAAGGCUCCCUUCAUGAAAUCCCCAGUUGGGUCGGAAAGCUCGAGAAGUUGGUAAAGGUUCAGCUAGUUUUCACCAAACUGAAGGAUACUGAAUCCAUACAAGUACUCGGGGAAUUGCCCGGCCUCAAAUGCCUCCGUCUUAUUUUAAAUGCCUACAUUGGAAAAGAGCUAGUUCUUUGCCAUGGGAAGUUCCGAGGGCUAAAGACUCUUCGACUUGACUCUUUGGAGGAGCUGAGAAAGGUUACAUUCGAGGAGAGGACCUCGCCCAAGCUGGAAACAAUAACCAUUCAGGAUUGCAGCUCGGAGUUAGCAGUCUGCGGCACGGCUAACCUCCAAAGCCUCGAGAAAAUUAAGUAUUUUGCAAAAGGGAAACUGGUGAAGCGUCCUGUGGUGCAAGCGGGUCAGAGCCAAAGUGCGCAUCAUCGGGAGGACAUCAAAGCUGCAGAGAUAAUAGAGAAAUCUCAAACAUCAUCACUAGAGAAAGGCGAGAGUUCACAAUCAAUACCUAGGCCUGAUGUCCUUCGUACUCUUCCACCCAUCUCUGCAACAACCAAGCUGAAGAGAAGUCUGUCCUGCCCAGCAUCAACAUCUAUCGUCAUGUGAACUAUAGAUCAAAGACUCUCAACAUCAAGUAAGUUUUAUCUAAUUGGUAUAUAUACAGCCUUUCUUUAUUCCAUUUUGUUUUUUUGCUGUUCUCGCAACAAUCUUAUUUGUUAAAAAACGUUUAAUAUGUGUAGAUGUUGAUGCCACCAUCUUGUAGAACUCAUGACGCAUCGUAGAGCUGUGAUAAUUGUAGAACUCAUGACACAUCAGAGAGCUGUGGUUGUUGUAGAGAGCUAUUUUCAGGGACUGAACUUACCUCCAUGGUGGUAACUGGUAUGUGAUAAACCUUGACUCUUAAUUGUAUUUAACUUUACAAUUGAAACUAGUUUUAAUUCUCUCAUCAUUAUUGCUUUUACUAGCAUUAACAAGUAAUUGAAUGAGUAUUUGAUUAUCCUUUUUAACAUAAGUAGGAAGGUAGCCCGCACGAAUGUGCGGGUAUGUAUCGUAGGCGGUUUCGUUUGAGAAACUUAUAUGGACGGAAUAUCAGCCAGAUGGCAUGUGCCAUGUUUCAAAAAUAUUAUUUCUUCAUAUUUUUUUUUCAUCCGCAUUGCUUAGAUAUAUUGUUGCUAACCGAUUACAUAUUCCAGUAGUAAGAUUUCCGCUAAGUUUGUAGUUGCUGAAUGAAUAUGUUGUUUGGCCGGCAGUUGUUAUUUCAAAAGUACAUUAGGUAGUCUCUCAAGUACAAAAAGAAUGGCAGAUCAGAAAAGUUUUGUCCUUCAUUUAUUCUCUCUGAAAGAGAGUUUGCUAGGGUGGAGAUGUCGUCAUGUGAAUAAUCAAAUGGACUACAUUAGACGCAUUGCACUGUACUCAACCCAUUGCUGACAAAUGGAGUGCAGGUCCUUAACCAGGCCAGAUAUUUGUUCAGUGUUUUUGUUCAAAAAAAAAACAUUCUGGAUGGAAGGUUAUUUCAUUAUAACCUUUACCCUUAUAGACUGCUUAGUAUAAACAACAAAUAAGGUCUCCUGCAAAAUUCAUGUACGCUGAUAUCUGUGUUUUCUGCCAUGCAGAGACUUGCAAUCUUACAGACUCAUUUAUGGCUGAAUCCAAAUUGGUUGCUUGGAGUCUGGAGCUCCAUGAGAUCACAAUGGCCACUUUUUGUUGCCAUGAGUGGUACAUGGAUCGUGCUGCUAAGCCUUUACUCUGAGCUAGCGGAAAACUGGCUGGCUGUAUAUCGAGUUCACAAUCGCCCUCAACUUUGUCAAUGCGAUGGUGGUCAUGGAUAGAUGUAUGUCAUAUAGCGCAAAGUGGAGCCUCCAAUGUUCGCCAACCGUAUUGUAAACGUGGGAGGAGAAAAUUUCUCAAGGGACAACCAUGGAACAGAGGUGAUGGAGCAAACUACUUGCUAUCAUUUCAGAGCACAGGCUGAAUUUUAGCUCAGAUAAGAGUACUAAUUCUUAUUUGUCUGUCAUUGAUCUAUCAUACUCCUUCCGUCCCUAAAUAUAAGGGAUUUUGUUUGGAUAUGAUAUAUCCUAGUACAAUAAAUCUAGAUAAGCUCCAGUCCAGAUUCGUUGUAUUAGGAUAUAUUGUAUCCAACCAAAAUCCCUUAUAUUUAGGGACGGAGGGAGUAUAUUUUAAGAGUUGAAUCAGAUGACUGCUUGAUUAUUACAUGAUGAUAUGUAAAAAAUGGUAUUGACAAGAAGACGUAGGAGCAGGGUGGUUCAUUGCUCAUUGAGGAGGUACUGAUAGGUACAAAAAUUUGAGAUUUGCUCCGGUAUAGCAAAAAGUAUCUCGAGUUAUGGGUACCUCACGGUACCAAAUCGUUUACGAUUGUUAGAUCUAGCGUGAGGUAUCGGUAUCUCAAGGACUCGAUGUACUUUUUGUUAGACCGGAGCAUAUCUUUAAAAAUUUAAUGUAAAAUUCGGUACUGAGAGGUACCAAAAUUACAUUAGAAAAGUGCUACUUCCUAUUAGCUUCUCAAGAACUGUAAAAUUGUUCUUUUAAUCUUAAUCUUGGAGUACUAGGAUGGUAAAUUGAGUUGGUGGUUAUUUCUCUACUACUUUUGAUGUGGUACGAAACUAAUUUGUUUCUGCUCAUGUACGUAAAAUGGAAAAUUUUAGUGAUUAUUAACCUUAUUAUUUUUCUCUUUAAUCAGAUUAUUUAUUGGCAAUUUUUUCUACAGGACACUGUUAUUAUGUGGUUUUAGCCAUAGGACACCGCCCAAACUCAUUUUUGGAGAAAAACACUCCAUAAUAAACGUGGUAAUUUACCAAUGGACACCAUGCCGAUUAAAAUAAUGAUUUCCGAUUGAGGAGGAGAGAGAAAUCGCGUGAAAUGUCAAAAAUGCCCUUGGGCCCACAUGUCAGCUCUCCAUCUCUCUUCCUCUCUUUCUUUUCUUUCUCCCUUCUUCCUGCCACCACGGGUGAGCAGCGGCGGCGUGACGGCCUGAGCUGGGACAGCUCGACGCGCAGCCGGGGAAGCAGCGGCGCACUGUCGGGGACCCACCACCAACGACGACGAGGCGCAGCGGCCACCCGGCGCACGGCGCUAUGGCAAGUGGCGACACCGAGCACACGAGCACGGCGGCGACGUUCUUCCUCUUCCUCGUCGGCCUCGAGCUUGACCCAGCCUUGCUCCGCCGCACCGGCCGCGCCACCCUUGCUGUCGCCACCGCUAGAAUCUCGCUCCAGACGUCGCAUCCCGGAUGCCAAUAAUCGGGUGCCGACGCCGUUCCGCCUCUGCACCGCCCCGCACCACGUCGUGCCUCGUCGUCAUUGGCGGUGGGUCCCUAGCGGUGCGCUGCCGCUUCCCGGCCACGUGCCGAGUUGUCCUGGCUCGAGCCGUCGCGCCGACUGUGCGUUGCGCCGUUGCUCACCCGCGGCGGGAGGAAGAAGAAGAAGGGAGAAAGAAAAGAAAGAGAUGAAGAGAGAUGGAAAGCUGAUACGUGGGCUCAAGGGUAUUUUCGACAUUUCACGCGAUUUCUCUCUCCUCAACCGGAAAUCAUUAUUUUAAUCGGUGCGGUGUUUAUUGGCAAAUUACCUCGUUUAUGGAGUGUUUUCUCCCCAAAGUGAGUUUGGACAGCAUACCAUGGCUAAAACCACACAAUAGCGGUGUCCUCAAGCAAAAAUUGCCUUAUUUAUUAGAGGGAUUUAUCUUUUUUUAGUUCUGUACAAAAAUAUUUUUUAUUGUCAAUGUUGCCAAAAAUUUGUGAUAUCAACAUUUUUCUUUUGUUUUACUAGAAUGGAUGACUGUUUUGGUGCUGCUUGCUUAGACUUGCUGAUUCCUCCCUCUUUCCUAUUUACUCCUUUUUCUUCACUUUUUUUUUUCUGUAUUUUGGUUUUCUAUCCUCUGUGACUACACAUUUGAAUCGAACAUGCUCUGUCUCUGCUCGGAAUACUUAUUAUUCGGCCAACAUAAAUGCAUAGGGCCAUUUGGAAUGCGCACUUAAAGGGUGUGUUUAGUUCUUGAAAAAAAGUUAGAAGUUUAUGUGUGUAGGAAAGUUUUCGAUGUGAUAUACUGUGAUGGAAAGUUGGGAGUUGGGGGUAGUUGGCUGAACUAAGCACGGCCUAAGAGUUGUUUGAACAUUUCCAUGGUGCUGUCCAUUAGCACGUGAUUAAUUAAAUAUUAGCUUUUCUUUUUCAAAAAUAGAUUAAUAUUAUUUUUUUAGUAACUUUCAUAUAGAAAAUUUUUGUAAAAAAAAUACUUAGUCUGCGUUCGGAUUUAGGAGAUGGGAACUCAUUCCCUCCACACGGAAAACGGAGCGGUCUAUUAGCGCGUGAUUAAUUAAGUAUUAGCUCUUUUUUUAAAAAAAUGGAUAAAUAUGAUUUUUUUUAAUCAACUUUCGUAUAGAAAUUUUUUUAAAAAAACAGUAGAGUAGUUUGAAAAACGUGCGCGCGGAACAGAGGGAGAGGGGUUUGCAACUAACACAGCCUAAGUUUAGCAGUUUCAAACACAACGCUUUCCGUGUCAGGCCGAAUCCAUCUCAACAAUAAUCCGCCAUCGAUUUUGCUAUAUAUUUGUCGAUAAAUUUUUCUCCAAAAAUUUGACAGAUGUAAUUACAGUACAAUCGUAGUGUAAUUACGCUGUAACUUGCAUGUAAUUACACUGUAACUAUAGUGUAACUUGUAUGUAACUUUCAAAAAUCUCUCCGUAACAUGUUAUUUCGGUAAAAUGGAAGUCGUGGGAACAAAUUCUUUCACAUGUGUGUAGUAUGAUUUGUUUUCUUCCUUACCAAAACAAAUCUUGUAAUAGAUCUAACAAUUCAAAAUUAUUUGAAACUUACAUAUAAGUUACAGUGUAGUUACAUAUAAGUUACAGUGUAAUUACAUAUAAGUUACAGUGUAAUUACACUACGAUUAUACUAUAAUUACAUCUGUCAAAUUUUUGGGGAAAAAUUUGUCGACAAAUGUAUAGGUAGUCCUAUCUGCCAUUGGUAGCCAAGCCUACCGCGCUACCACUGGUAGCACAAGUACAACGCGAGGCGCAACCACAGCGCAUGGCCAGGCCCAUCCUGCAGCUGCGACGACGACGAAGACUUGCGUCGGAGACUUGGAAUCAAGUCACGGCCGGCAAAGCGCAUGCCAAAAUAUGCUACGACGAUGAUGACGACGAUUCCGUCAGUCACGGCGCGCCUGAGGGCCCAUGUUGCCAGCCGACGCCGUCCACCCAUUCCUUACUUCCCCCUUGUUGGUUCCUCAGCCACUAGCGUCCACUUCUCCUCCUGCGUCUAGUACCCUAUCUUCACCUUUCCGGAGAUUACAGAGGAAGAGGAAGGACGCCGAAGCCGUUGCAUCAAGGCUAGGACCACCGUCGAACACCUGCUGUGCGCACCGCCCUGCGUUCCUUUGCUUCACCACCGUGUGUGCACAGAUCCCAGGGUGUGCACAGCAGCAUAGGUAAGUAAACCCCGAAUUUCUGCAGUUUUUUUUAAAAGAUAAAGCAGGAGCUCUGCUAUUCAAUUAAGCAGGGAAGAUUAUUUGGGUAUUUUCCGCAGUUUUCUGGAAACCAUUUUUUUCCCCAACCAUUUUCAGGUUUGGCUAUUUUUCUUGCCUGUCUGUUAAGCUAAACUUGCAGAACUUAGCAUAAAGUUGUAAUACAAGCAUAGUUUCACCAAUAUACAACCUUUUGUUUUAAGCUACAACAUUCACCUCAAGGAAGAAAAAGUAAACUUAUGAACUGUUGGACUUGGGCUGAUAUCACUCGGAUGGCGGUCCCCUCAUUUUUAUUUGCAUCUCCUUACGAUUUUUUUUUUCAGCUGGCAUAUUUGUCAACUUCCUGUAAUCUUUUUGAAGUAUAACUCAUGGAAUUCCUUUGUGUAUAUUCUGUUAACCCAGUGGUUUUAUGACACUAAUUAAGAAAGUUAACUAGUUAAGAGAUUAUACCGUUUGAGUUUGGGCUUUGGAGAUGUCACUAGCUAGUGGUCGACGGUAGGCAAGUCCUUUCUGCUUUGCUAUGAAGAACCUCCGAGCUCAGUCAAUGUCCAGAAAAAAGUUGGAUAACUAUAAGUGGAAGCCAUUUUUGGUUGGUUUUCUGCAUGUUCUCUUUGUCCCUGUUUUAUUAUGUCAUGUAAACUUUUCAUUCCCCAGUUUGAUUUAUACAUGUCUAUUUGACAUUGCAGAUAAAUACAGUUGUAGCCUGAAAGAUAGAACUUAUAAUCUAUUGCUUAAAAGUUUAAAGAAAGUUGUUCAGAGAAGGAAUAUAAGAUGACGGAUACAGUACUCAGCAUUGCAAAGUCUCUGGUGGGAAGUGCUGUAAGCAAGGUUGCUUCGGUUGCCGCAGAAAAGAUGGUCUUGCUGCUGGGAGUGCAGAAGGAGAUAUGGUGAGCAUCUGAAUUGCAGCCUAAUUAAUUUUAUUUGUCAUUUGCAUUAGAUUUAUUGGGACCACACUUAUGCAGAGUGGUAUGGUACUCAGUUUAUUUUUAAUGAUUUAUUUAUAUUUUUUAUUACAUAUCCUGGAGGAACGCAUAUGCAGUUUUUUUUAUAAGUAUAUUAUUUGCAACAUCUUCGGGAGAUACAUGUAGAGGAAAGUGAAAGUAGGAUGUACUGGAAGUCCCUCUAUAUGCCCAAACACAAGUGGACACAGUUUCCUCAUGGUAACCAUGUUCAAUGAAGGAAUACAAACGACGCAGCUAUUAUGGACCUGGUGAUAAUCUAAUUUAGACAGAAACAUGGUUGCCUUCGAGAGUAAACAAUGUAGCAUGGCAUGCUUAAGUCAAAUGCAUGUACAAUUUGACAUGGAACUAUUACGUUCAGUGCUGUGCAAUUUUGCUUUUGACCAUGGAAUCAAAGAUUUAAUGCAAAUUAAUCUUCACGUUCCUAGUUUGAGCUUCCAAUUUGUUCAUAUUUGUGAUUUAUAAUGCUAUAUAUGCAUGUAUACAUACAAGCAACGCAGUCCACGUGGGAUGUUGGCCACGCCUGGAUGAGCUGAGAAAGAUUUAAAUCCUGUUUAGAUGUGACUAAAACUUUUAAGUCCCUAUCACAUCCGAUGUUUGGACACUAAUUGUAAAUAUUAAACGUAGACUAUUAAUAAAACCCAUCCAUAAUCUUGGAUUAAUUCGCGAGACGAAUCUAUUGAGCCUAAUUAAUCCAUGAUUAGCCUAUGUGAUGCUACAGUAAACAUUAUCUAAUUAUGGAUUAAUUAGGCUUAAAAAAAUUGCCUCGUGAAUUAGUUUUCAUUUAUGUAAUUAGUUUUGUAAGUUGUCUAUAUUUAAUACUCUAAAUUAGUGUCUAAAUAUAGGGACUAAAGUUAAGUCCCUGGAUCCAAACACCACCUUUAGACCUGUGAAAACAAUGUCUUGAAUUCCGUUGAACAUUUUGUCUACAGGUUCAUCAAGGACGAGCUACAAAGGAUACAAGCAUUUUUGAUGGCUGCUGAACCAUCAAAGAAAAGCAUACUAUUGAAGGUUUGGGUGCAGCAAGUAAGGGAUCUAUCCUAUGACAUUGAAGAUUGCCUUGAUGAAUUUACAGUUCAUGUGAGCAGCCAAACCUUGUCGAGGCAGUUGAUGAAGCUAAAGGAUCGCCAUCGGAUUGCCAUCCAGAUCCGCAAUCUCAGGACAAGAAUUGAAGAAGUAAGCACUAGGAACAUACGCUACAACUUAAUAGAGAAUGACCUCACCUGCACCACUACUGAUGAGAGGAAUUUAUUUAUGGAAGACAUUCGCAACCAAUCAGCUAACAACAUUGAGGAAGCUGAUCUUGUGGGUUUUUCUGGACCCAAAAGAGAGUUGCUUGAUCUUAUAGAUGUCCAUGCCAAUAUCGGACCUACAGAAGUCGUAUGUGUUGUCGGUAUGGGUGGUUUGGGUAAGACUACUAUUGCAAGGAAAAUUUAUGAAAGCAAAGAGGACAUUGCAAAGAAUUUUUCUUGCUGUGCUUGGAUUACUGUUUCACAGUCCUUUGUUAGGUUGGAACUACUAAAGGAUUUGAUGAUGAAACUUUUUGGAGAGGAAGUACUGAAGAAGCAGAUGAGAGAACUCGAAGGGAAGGUUCCACAAGUAGACGACCUCGCCAGCUACCUCAGGACAGAGUUAAAUGAAAGGAGGUACUUUGUUGUGCUUGAUGACGUGUGGAGUACAGAUUCAUAGAAAUGGAUUAAUAGCAUUGCCUUCCCUAGAAAUAACAAUAAAGGGAGCUGGGUGAUAGUAACAACACGAGAUGUUGGCUUAGCUAAGGAGUGUACUUCUGAAUUGCUUAUCUACCAGCUUAAACCCCUGGAAAUAAGCUAUGCGAAAGAGUUGCUUCUAAGGAAAGCAAAUAAAACAACAGAAGAUAUAGAAAGUGAUAAAAAGAUGAGUGACAUUAUUACUAAAAUAGUAAAGAAGUGUGGUUAUUUACCGCUGGCUAUACUCACAAUAGGGGGCGUGCUUGCCACCAAAGAGAUAAGAGAGUGGGAAACCUUUUAUAGUCAGAUACCUUCAGAGCUUGAGAGCAACCCAAACCUUGAAGCAAUGAGAAGGAUAGUGACCCUAAGUUACAACUACUUGCCAUCUCAUCUUAAGCAAUGCUUUUUGUAUCUAAGCAUAUUUCCUGAGGAUUUUGAAAUUAAUAGGAACCGUCUGGUAAAUAGAUGGAUGGCAGAGGGGUUUAUUAAAGCUAGGGCUAAUAUGACUAUUGAAGAUGUUGGGAAAAGUUACUUUAAAGAACUCAUCAACCGUAGCAUGAUUCAGCCAUCAAGAGCGGGUGUACGAGGAGAGUUUUAGAGUUGUCGAGUCCAUGAUAUAAUGCGUGAUAUUACAAUUUCGAUUUCUAGAGAGGAAAAUUUUGUAUUCUUACCUAGGGGCACUGACUAUGAAGCAGUACAGGGGAACACUCGGCACAUAGCAUUUCAGGGGAGUAAGUAUUGCUCUAAGAUAAGCUUUGACUGGAGCAUUAUACGGUCAUUAACUAUGUUUGCCGAGAGGCCCGUAGAACUAGAGCAUUCAGUUUGUUCAUCUCAGUUGAGGAUGUUACGGGUCUUGGAUCUAAGAGAUGCACAAUUUACUAUCACACAAAAUGAUGUCAACAAUAUAGUGCUCUUGUGCCACUUGAAAUACCUACGCAUUGCAAGAUACAAUAAUGCAUCAUAUAUUUACUCACUUCCAAAAUCCAUAGGAAGACUGGAUGGUCUGCAGACAUUGGACUUGGAUUCGACGAACAUUUCAACACUGCCAACUCAGAUUACUAAGCUUCGGAGUCUCCGGAGCCUUAGAUGCAUGAAGCAAUAUGAUUUUUCUUCUUUCACAACAUGUUUAACUGACACAUUGUGCCUGCCCAUGAUAUUCACACCUUCCGUUAGUACCUCUGAUCGUGCUGAAAAAAUUGCUAACUUGCACUUGGCCACCAAAAGCUUCCGUUCAAAAUCAAAUGGCGUCAAGGUACCAAAAGGAAUAUGUAGGUUGAGAGACUUACAAAUAUUGGGGGUAGUGGAUAUUAGAAGGACUAGCAGUAGAGUAAUAAAAGAGUUGGGGCAGUUAAGCAAGCUGAGGAAACUAUAUGUGGUAACAAAGGGAUCUACAAAGUUAAAAUGUGAGAUACUCUAUACAGCCAUCCAGAAGCUCUAUUCCCUACAAUCUCUCCAUAUGGAUGCUGUGGGAUGCACAGGUAUUGGAACACUUGAGUGCCUAGAUUCUGUUUCAUCGCCUCCUCCCCUAUUGAGGACACUCAGGUUGAAUGGAAGUCUUGAAGAGUUGCCUAACUGGAUUGAGCGGCUCACUCACCUGAGGAAAUUCUACUUAUUGAGGACCAAACUAAAGGAAGGUAAAACCAUGCUGAUACUUGGGGCAUUGCCCAACCUCAUGCUUCUUCAUUUUUGUCACAAUGCUUACCUUGGGGAGAAG